AGUCAAGAACUUCAAUAUUCUUCCAUAGAAAGUGCUCAACUUCUGUCAAAGAGUUGUGAGAUACGUUUAAGUAAGUCAAAGAGCCAUUCCCCACCUCUUGCAUCCACUGUGGAAUCUUGCCUUCAAUUUUGUUGCAAGAGAGGUCUAAGCUUUCCAAACUUUUAAGCCCUUUUAAAAAUUGGGGGAAUUCACUAAGAUUGCAAGAUGACAAAAGUAAGUCUGUAACAUUAGGCAAUAUAUGAUUAACACUAGAUGUAGUAUUAGAUGUUAAGGAUAGGCUGUUAUAUGAAAGGUCGAGAUGUUUUAGAUUUGGAAGGUUUGAGAACAUGCGAAACUCUAUGACACCACUAAGAUUAUUUGAGGAUAAAAGGAGCCAGGUAAGAUUGAGAAGUUGGAAUAUUGAAGAUGGAAGGGGACCUUGGAGUUUAUUAUUUUCUAGAUCUAAAUAUUCUAGUGAUUUGGUUUGGAAUUCUUUGAUAUGCCCACUGAAUUGAUUUUGAGAGAGAAUUAUACCCUUUAAGGAGGGAGCAGUAUACAACCAUGACGGAAGUGUUCCAUUGAGUAAAUUGUCAUAUAAGACUAAAUAUAUUAGAUUCGGAACAGCGGUUACCUCAUCUGGAAUAGAACCUUCUAAAGAAUUUUCAGAUAUUUCCAAGUAUUCCAACUGCGUUAGGUUUAGAAUUGACAAUGGAAUUUGUCCACUCAAUUUAUUUGAUCCCAAGUCUAAAUGAGUGAGUUGCAAGAGGUUUCCAAGUGAUCUUGGAACCGGUCCUGAUAAGUUGGAAUAGGAGAGAUCUAAAAACUUCAAGGACACAAGAUUCCCCAUCGAGUCAGGCAAUCCUCCAAAAAAAUUUGCGCCUCUAAGAAUCAAGUACUCCAAAGAUGAUAAAUUUGUGAUUGAGACAGACAAUCCUUGAAAGAAAGAAAUUCCUGAUAGAUCUAAGUACUUUAAGGCCCGUAGAUUAUCAACCGAAUCAAUGAAUUCUGUAGAGAAGGACAUCCUCGACAGAUCCAAAUGUUCGAGAUUGCUGCUCCGGUUCAACUUCAAAGGAUCAAGAUUGAGGUUUUGGUUGCCUCCCAAGUUGAGGAGAUUGAGGUUUGGCAAAUCAAAAAUGUUUUUUGGGAAUUUUCCUUGCAAAUCACAACCAGCAAGACUGAGAGACCUUAGAGAAGAGGAUAGAUUCAUGAAGACAUGAGCAUUAACAUAAGACAUGUCCAUUCCACCCAAAAAUAGAUGUCUGACAUCGGUUAGGUUGUGAACAAGUCCCUCCAGAGCAUGUUUGUCAAUUGUUUGUUCACCAAACACAGAGGAGGAGAGAUCAAGUGAAACCAAUUUUGACAGGUGGGAGACUUGGGAUGGGACUUCUCCUGCAAACCCUGUAUAAGAAAGGUUGAGGUAGAAUAGGCUAGUAAACCGACCGAACUCGGAUGGAAUUUUGGAAAGAUUAAAAUCAUUGUAGGCAAGGUUGAGUUUUUGAAGGUGAGGAAGAAGGAAGAGAGUGGUAUUGGAAGGGAAGUUGCCAUAUAGCCAACUGCAGCUCAAGUCAAGGGCAAUAACAUGAGCAUUUAGGUGGUCACAAGUGACCCCAUCCCAUGAGCAGCAAUCUGUACCCUCCUUCCAUGAAUUUGUCUUGGGAUAAGAUUUAAGGCCAGCAUAAUCAUUGCAAUAAGAAGAAACAUCCUCUGUUACGGAAAAAGAGUCCUUAAACUGGAUUAGGGAAGAGCAGGAGUGAGAUCCUGAAGAAGAAAAAGAAGCAUAAAGAUGGGGAAAGAAGAGGAAUAGGCAGAGAAAGAGAUAGGGGGCCAUGUUAUGUUUGUAGAGAAAGAAGAAGGAUAGGAAUGGUAUUUGUAGGCAACAAAUAGUACCACAACAUUGGUGUUACAGUAUUUUUUUUUUCUUUUACAUUGAAAAGCUAUGGAUAUUAGAUUUUCAAAAAUUUUGUAUUUUUCACCAUCAUCAACAACCACUUAGUCUUCUUUUUACCAUAUAUUUUUCAUUCUAUUUUUUUAACAAAAUCUUGUAUUUCAUUUCAGCUUUCAAAACAACUAAAAAAUUUAAAAUUGAUGAAAUUACAAAGUAGAUUGACUUAGUCUUCUUUCCUAUAACAUUUAAAAGAAUAUCUUGUCAACCAAAGUUAAUUAAUGUGAAAAUUCUUUUUCACACAAAAGAACAAAAUUGUGCUCUAUUCACUAAGUUAGAGGAAAAAGACUGCUAGAUUUUUUAAUUAUUUUUUCUUUGAAAAAUUUGAAAGUUUUUUACUGCCUUUAAGCCAAUAAAAAAAACAUGUAUUAAUUUUGUUUUUAAAAAUAGUGUGUUUGAUUGUGAAAUGAUUCAUCAUCCUCCACCACAAACUAUCCAUAUUUGCAGUGUGAAAGCAGCUACUUUCAUAAAGAAAUUACUUAGGAGAUGGGAUCCACCAAUUUUACCUAAACUCGCAUCAACAUUGUUUAGCAAUUUCAAAAUAGACUAAUUAGUCUGGUUCAAAUACCAAGACUACAAUAUCUAUUCACUUCACUUGGUCUUGCUUCCUAUCGCUGUCAGCCAAACUUGAUCGACUAGCAGUAAGGAAAUUUCAGUCAUUUGCAGCAUAAUGUACAAGAAUUCCACUCCCGCAAAAUAAUUUACAAUAUGGACUAACACACUAAAAAUGAUUUUUAAAAAAUGAUUUUUAGAAAGUAAUUUUUGAAAAAUGGUUAGAAGAUAAUUUUUGUUUCUGAAAUAGUUAAUUUUUUUUGGUGUUUAGAUAAAUUUUGUUAUGUUUUCAUUGUUUACUUGAGUUUAUUUCAUAAAGCUUAUGUAUAUAUUUUAAUUAAUCAUGUUUUAGUUUUAAUUAAUCUUAAUUUACUUAAUUAAGCUUAAUUGUUAACUUCGUACAUUAGAAUAUAAAUUUAUGUUUAAUUAAGUUGAAAGUGAUAAAUAUUUAUUUUGAAUAUUAUUUGGAUAAGUUGAAAAAUGAUUUAAUUUGAUAAAAUUGAAGUCAGGGUCAUAGAACUAUGCUUUUUACUGACAAAAUCUUAGAUGCAGUGAUUAUUGAGACUAAAAAAUGAAAGUCAUGAAAGAAGACAUAAAUAGUUGAACCAUACAAAAUGUUACAUUUUGUAAUGCAAUGAAAUAUAGAUGAAUUGUUACAAAUAUAAAGACAGAUGCAUUGCAAUGCAACCUUUCUCCAUAGGAAAAAAAAUUUGACAGACUUCAAAACAAGAAAUUAUGAAGAUACAACAUACACACUUGAACAUCAUUUCCACUAACUAGAUCCUUCUUCGUCCAUUGCUGCGACUGCCAUCCUUUGACUUUCUUCUUCGCUACUUCUCAUGUUGGAUUCAACCAAAUUCACCAACCAUUUUGGCUUACUAAUUUGGAAAACAACAUAUCCCACGACCAUUCCAAACACUACUCCGCAUCCAUAACCUAUCAACACCAAUUUCCAACCAAAAGAGAUGUUUGAUUUUGAACCAUCUUUUCCAAGCACAUUUGGAGGUGGUGGCUCAAUGAUGUUGCAACCUUUUGAGACCGGAAAUCCACAUAAUCCCUUGUUUCCUUCAUAUGAAUCAUUUCCAUAUGUGUUGAACUGUUUGCCUUGAGGAAUCUGACCAUGGAGUUGAUUUUCAGAAACAUUGAAGGACGAAAGAAAUGCCAGAUCUGCAAAUCUAUUUCGAAUUGUCCCUGACAACCUGUUUGAAUAUAGGUCCAACCAUUCAAGACUCGUCAAAUUCCCUAUUGAAGUGGGGAUACCACCGUUAUAAACACUGUCAUAUGGCAUGAAUAACAUACUCAUAUAUUUACUGUCACAUGGCAUGAAAAACACACCCUCAUAUUCACUUUCACAUUAGUCAUCAUAAGCUUAUAACAUAUGUCAUAGCAAUCUCAUAUAUAUUCAUAAUUUCACAAUUUCACAAGCGUACAUAUAUCACAUUUAAUCAUAUGCGCGAGAAAACUUACUCUCACUUACUCUUGGAAUUUAGAGUAGGAAUUUAGGCUACCACUAAAUUCUCAUCAAUUAAACAAUGAAUCAUCUACGAGCAACAAUUUCAAACCACAAUGAAUCGAGAGCUCAAACUAGCUCUUCCUCUAACUCGUAGAAGGCUUUAAUGAAUCCGAGGCUUCACACAUGACAAUCACACAAUACUCACAGUCAAAUGACAGCCAAGGACCCACUUAAACUAACCAAAAUAAAAGCCUAAGCUACCUUCUAAUGUAACCAAACCCUUUAGCAUGACGAACUUAAAAUGCAAAUAUAUCAAUCUACACUUAAACAUUUUCACAUGAAACAAGUUUCAGUCAUCCCCCAUAUUCAUUUAUAGCUAAACUCCAAUCUUUAAACCACACAAAACUACAAGUUUCAAGGUAUAACAUUUUUCCACAAAUUUUGACCAUAAUAAUGAAAAUUCAUUAAAACACGGGAAAUCUAUAAUGAAACUUAGAAGUAAUUUUAAAAAACUUCUAAUUAAGUUAAAACAAGUUGAAAAACACUUUUAAAUCACUUUUUCAUCCACAAUCUCGAAUUCCACCAUUAAUGACCCAAUUUUUAGGUUUAAAUUAAAACAUGCAAUUUCAUAACUAAAAUCUCAAUUUUAAAGUCUAGAUAACAUUAAAAACUAAUGAGAAAGUAAAUGGUUACCUUUGAUGAAAGAUUAAACGAGUUUUGAAGUAAAUUUGAAAAACCCACAAUUGAAGAAGAAGAUGAAAUCUAUGGCGUUUUUGAGUGUUUUUCUUGGAAUUAUAAGAAAUCAAAGUACUAUUGUUUGGGAAUAAAAAUUAAUUGAAAGAUCAAGGGAAUAGCAAAGGACGGCAAUAGCAAACUUUGGAGAGUAACUAUUGUGAAAUAGAACAGGGAAUGGGGUUUAUUAGGUUCAAUUUAAAACAUUGGUAAAACUUCAAUCUAAGUGCUCACUAUUUUAACUUUGUUACAAAUUAGUUCUUUUUCUAAAUUUUAGGUAUUUAAAACUCAUUUUCAGAAAUCGGCUCAAUUCCCUAAUAGCCAUUGUCGAAAACAUUAUUGAAUACUAACCUUACGAAAUUUUGAUUACAUAUAGGCUAAAAUUCCUAAAAAAAAAUUGAAACUCUUAGAUCCUAUUUUGGGGUGUUCACGUAUGGUCAUGAUUCAUGUUGAAUUAAUACAUCAUUCACCGUAAUAAGGCUUAUCGUUGUAAUAAUUAGUUAAAUCACCUAAUAUCUAAAAAAUUAUUAUUAUUUUCAUAAAAUCAUUGAUCAAAUUAUUGUUUUCAAAUUUCAUACAUAAAAUUAACAAAUAAAGAUAGCUCUAAAUAGCAAAACCCAAUAUGUGUAACAAGUAUUUUUAUUAAUCCAUUUGGAAUGUUAAGGUUUGCUGGAGCAAAUAAAUUGAUUAAUGCUUUGAACUUUCCAAACACUUUUUAUAGUUUUGUUAUAUGCAUUUUGUAUAAUUAGUAUAUUUGAAUAUAUUAGAUACAUCGUCUAAAACAAUGCCAAUUGUAAUUUUUUUAUAUUUUGUUGAUCAUAAGCGUAUUAUAUAAAUAAUUUAAAAAAAAAAAGAUGGAGUGAUACAUUUAUGUAGUGCUUAUGAAUAUAAUGUUGGAUUAAAAUCCUUAAUUAUGAGUACAUAUGUAUAUGCUUGAUAUUACAAUUAUCUUAAUAAUUUUGUUUCUGUUCUUGUUGAUUGAUGAUUAUAGAAAUCAUUAUUCUUCUGAAGGCAUACUUUGUUGUCAAUGACAGUACCUGCACCCUAAAAAAGUCACCAGCUUUAACGACUACAAAAGUUGUCCUGCCUGAUAUUUAUUAAAAAAUCACCAGGAAGCACAUUGUCAGGACAUCCUUGCUGGAAAAAAACUUGGUAGGAUGGUUUUUCUGUGCAAACUUAGUAAUUAAUUUAUGUUGUUUUUACCAAACUUUGUAGCGUUUCACUUUUGGUAAAAUUUCAUCCUUGGUCCCUUUAAACUCCUUUUUGCUUUAAUUUGAUUGCUUUCUAGCGUUGCAAAUUACAUAACACUCUUCAAAUGUCUUAUUAAAUUCUCACUUUUACGAGUGCUAUGUUAAUCAAUUUUAAGUUCCAUAUAACACUUACAUGGCUACAAAAUGUGUGUGUGUGUAAGUGUCCUCAACCACAAACAAUCCAAAUUUGCUGAGAAACCACCCAUUAUAUAUAGGUUUGCCAAUGAGAUGGCAAGCAGACUGCUAGCUAGAAAUUCAUGCAUCUUUGAAUCACCAAUUCAAUUAAUAAGCUUAACUAGAGGAAAUAAGGACUUUACACCACCAAUUAAAGCAACCUAUAUGUACCCUUUUACAGUCUGCAUUGUUCCAUGUUUCCAUUCAUUACAUCAUUCCUUCAACUCUGCUAUAUAUUAUUACCGUCUCCAGAAAACCAAACCUUUUACUGCUAACUUGUAAAAAAAUUAUGAAAAUACAACAGAGAUCAUUGAGACAUUGUUGAAGUUGGCUUGCAUGCAGACCAAGAAGCACACCAAGCUGUCCGAGAUAUGCAAGUUGCAGCUGAAGCUUAUGCUGCUGUUUUGUUACUUUCAAAUAGAUAUUUUAUUAUUUACUUAGAUAUGAACUAAGUUGCUGAUAUGCUUGAUGUAAUUAGGAGCUGAUAGAUUGAUAAAUCAGCUUUACCAAGUGUACAAGCAAUGUUUAUCAAGUUACUAAGCCACUUAGUGGAGUUAGGUAUGUGUUUAGGUAACAUUUUCUUAUUUUUGACCAGCUGAUUGCUUGCUAUAUGUAAUGGCAUUGUGCCUUCAUUCAAAUGUAAAGAAAUCUUUCAGAAAAUUCUUCUUCAUUUGGUCUUUACCUAAGCAUUUUUUUUCACGAAGCUCUUGCUGUUUUUGUUUUGUUUGUUGAGCAAGAUAACAAUGCUUUAUGCUUAAGUUUCUGUCAAAAUUUCUCAUUCUGUUUUCUUAGUUCCUACAGACAUUUUGUUCUCCUUUCUCCUUUACUGAGCAGUAGCAAAGAUUAUCGAGACUAAAUUGAAAUCCAUGAAAGAAGACAUAAACAACACCACCAUACAAAAUGUCACACUCAAACAAACCAUUACAGAUACGAAAUGCAAUGAAAGACAGAGGAAUUGGUACAAUAAUAAAGACAGCCAGAUACCAAUGCAACCCUUCACCAUAGGCAAAACGGUCUACAAACAAGAAAUUAUGAAAAAUACAACACUAAUUCUUGAACAUCAUUUGCAGUAAUUAAAUCCUUCUUCGUCUACUGCUGUGAUUGCCUUUCUUUGACUUUCUUCUUCGCCUCUUCUCAUGUUGGUUUUCAACCAAAUUCACCAACCAUUUUGGCUUACCAGUUUGGAAAACAACAUAUCCCACGGACAUUCCGAACACUACUCCGCAUCCAUAACCUAUCAACACCACUUUCCAACCAAAAGCAAUGUUUGAUUUUGAGCCAUCUUUUUCAAGCACAUUUGGAGGUGCUGGAUCAAUGAUGUUGCAACCUUUCGAGACCGGAAACCCACACAGUCCCUUAUUUCCUUCAUAUGAAUCAUUUCCAAAUGUGUUGAAUUGUUUGCCUUGAGGAAUCUGACCAUGGAGUUGAUUUUCAGAAACAUUGAAGGACGAAAGAAAUGGCAGAUCUGCCAAUCUAUUUGGAAUCGUCCCAGACAACCUGUUUGAAGAUAGGUCCAACCAUUCAAGACUUGUCAAAUUCCCUAUUGAGGUGGGGAUAUCACCAAUAAGGUUAUUAUGAGAAAGGUUGAGCCCUUUCAGUAAGUUAAGCUUCCCAAUAACCUUUGGAAUACCCCUUUCAAACUGAUUGUUUGAUAGAUCAAUGAUCAUCCACAUGGUGAAAAUUUUCACCAAUUCCCUAUCUUGUCCUUUCAUAACAAUUCCAAUGGAAUAGGUAUAGAAGCCAACUCCAUAAUCAUGCACCCCCAUGUAUGACACUGUACUACCAAUCUUCUCUAGAUUUAUGAUAGCCUUGAAGCUGUUGAUGUAUCUCACUGGUAGGGGUCCAGAAAAAUAAUUACUUGAGAGAUCAAAAAUUUGGAUUUUAGAGAAAAAAGGGAUAGACUUGGAGCUAUUGACACAUAAGGAACCAUGCAGUUGAUUUGACUUCAAUACAAGAACUUGUAGCUGUGGAAGACUUCCCAACCAGUGAGGAAAUGUAUCAUUGAUCUUGUUGUUACCAAGAUCUAGCACUUCCAGACCUCUACAAUUAAGGAUGGAUGGUGUCAAAGGCCCUUCUAACAGAUUUCCAUUUAAGUUGAAAUUACUCAAUCGGCAUCCCUUUGCAAAUGCUGGAGGAAUCGUCCCAUAAUACUUGUUCUUCUUCAGAUUCAAGAAUAGAAGGCUGUUGCUCAAAUUUCCAAAACAUUGUGGAAUUGUUCCACUCAAGUUAUUGUGGGACAAAUCAAGAAUUUCAAGAAAAGCGGCAUUGCAUAUUAAAGAAGAGACCUCUCCAUUGAAACUAUUAUUUGAGAUCAAAAAGACUCUUAUGGUCGAAGCUGGAAUCGGAAGAUUUCCACUGAUCAAAUUGGAGCUUAAGUCAAGAACAUCAAUAUUCUUCCAUGGAAAGUGCUCAACUUCUGUCAAAGUGUUGUGAGAUACAUUUAAGUGAGUCAAAGAGCCAUUCCCCACCUCUCGCAUCCACUGUGGAAUCUUGCCUUCAAUUUUGUUGCAAGAGAGGUGUUGAAGUAAUGGUCAGCAUGCAGCAACCAAGACUGUCAAAGGCACUACAUGCAGAAGCUGCUGGUUCACCUAGUCAGCAAGCUGUUUAUGUUUCAUUUUGUAAUUUUAAGUUAGAGUAAUGUAACUUAGUUGCUUUAUAACUAUGUUAGGUUUAUGUUUGAUGUAAUUUUGAUGUUGACUGAGCUGAUAAAUCAGCUUUGUUUGUUUAUUCAAGCUAAUUAGCACAAGUUACUAUGUGUAUUAGUGGUAGUAGGUGAAGUUUAGGUCAACCUACUGUUUUGUCAAGAUUGUAAACUUGUUUUAUGUAUUGGCUUUGUGCCAUAUUUAGUUUGAUGAAUGAAUUCAAGAAGUUAUCAUCCAUAUGCUCUCCAUUUUUAGUUUUGCUUAAAAAUCCAUUUGAGUUUUCUGCUUUGUUUCUCCUACAAGUCACGAGACUUGCCAUACAAGCAUUCUGCUGAAGCUUGCUGCUGCUGCCUCUUGCACCAACAAUUGGUAUCUAGAGCCACAUUCUUAGAGGACCUGUUGUAGUUCAGUAUCAAAACGAUGGCAUCAUCAGGUUUUUCACCAGCUUCACCACCUGUCUUCAAUGGAGAGGGCUUCAACAUUUGGGCAGUUAAGAUGAGGACUUACCUGCAGGCAUUCGACCUAUGGGAAGUUGUUAACUCAGAUGCUGAGCCAGCACCUCUUCGAGCUAAUCCAACAGUUGCUCAAAUAAGGCAACACACUGAUGAAAGGACAAAAAGGCACAAGGCCAUGUCAUGCAUACAGAAUUGUGUGACAGAUGUGAUCUUUAUGAGGAUCAUGGCCUGUGAGACACCAAAGGAGGCUUGGGACAAGCUGAAAGAAGAAUUUCAGGGGACUGAGAAAACAAGGCAACAACAGCUGCUCAAUUUGAGAAGAGAUUUCGAAAAUCUCAAAAUGAAAGAGGAAGAAACAGUUAAGCAGUACUCAGACCGGAUUAUGGCUGUUGUAAACAGCAUAAGGCUCCUAGGAGAGCAAUUCAGUGAAGCUAGAAUGGUUGAGAAAGUCAUGUCCACUCUACCAGAGAGGUAUGAAGCUAAAAUUUCAUCCCUCGAAGACUCAAGGGACUUGACAACUAUCUCCUUAACUGAGCUAAUCAAUGCCUUGUAUGCAUAAGAGCAAAGAAGAGCUAGCAGACAAGAGGAGCACCAGGAAGGGGCUUUUCAAGCCAAAGAAGCCUCGAGCAUCAAAACUCAUAAAGGCAAAAAGUUCUGGAAAAACAAGCCUAAGCCUGAUGCUGCUAGGAGCAGUGACCAACUCUGCAGACAUUGUAAAAGAGCUGGUCAUCCAGAAGAUAGAUGCUGGUUUAGACCAGAUGCAGUAUGCCAAAACUGCAAGAAAAAAGGCCAUGUUGAAAAAGUUUGCAAGAAUAGAAGCAAACCAAGACAGAAUCAAUUUCAGCAACAAAAGGUGGAAGCUCGAGUAGCUGAAGAAAGUAGUGAUCAAGAAGAACAUGUUUUUGCUGUGUCAUGUGCAGCAAAUCAGAAGAAGGGUUCAAAGGGCUGGCUUCUAGACAGUGGGUGCACAAACCACAUGUCACCAGAUGCAACUAUCUUCAAAACCCUGGACAGAACCUGCAAAACCAAAGUAAAAAUUGGAAAUGGUCAGUUAAUCAAUGCUGAAGGAAGAGGAGAUGUGCUGAUUCAUACUUCUACAGGUGGCAAAAUCAUUUCAAAUGUACUUUUGGUACCUGAAAUCGAUAGGAACCUUCUCAGUAUAACUCAACUACUUGAGAAAGGUUACUCAGUUGUUUUCAAGGAGAAAGAAUGUCAAAUUUUUGAUCCAAGUGGAUCAAAUCUUAUAACAGUCACCAUGACUGAUAAAUGUUUUGAAGUAGACUGGCCAAAUGACUCACAUUCAGCCUGCAUAGCCUCCACUAAUGACUCGAGACUCUGGCAUCAGAGGCUUGGACAUGCAAACUACAAAUCCAUAGCCCGCAUGGUCAAUGAAGGUCUGGCAGAAAAUUUCAUUGAUUCAGUGAAGAAUGAUGAGCUUUGUGAGAUAUGUCAGCAAGGAAAAUUGGCAAGAUUGCCAUUUCCAACAAGCACAACAUGGAGAGCAUCAGAGAAGCUCCAGCUUGUGCAUACAGAUGUGUGUGGACCAAUGAAGACUGAGUCUCUCAAAGGAAGCAGGUACUUUAUUUUAUUUAUUGAUGACUUAACAAGAUACUGCUGGAUUUAUUUUCUAAAACAGAAAUCAGAAGUACCAUCUAUGUUCCUGAAGUAUAAGGCUGCUGUUGAAACUGAGUCUGGUUGCAAACUUAGAGCAAUGAGGUCAGAUAAUGGAACUGAGUACACCUCAGCUCAGUUCCAAGUCUACUGUGAAGAAGCAGGUAUCAAACACCAGUUGACUAAUGUGUAUACACCCCAACAGAAUGGGGUCAGUGAAAGGAAAAACAGAAGCUUGAUGAACAUGGCAAGAUGUCUUCUGUUUGAGAAGAAUUUGCCCAAAAGUCUGUGGGCUGAAGCUGUUAACACAGCAGUUUAUCUCUAAAAUAGGCUCCCAACCAAGGCUCUGGCUGAGAAGACUCCAUUUGAAGCCUGGUUUGGGUUUAAGCCAUCACUGGCUCAUCUCAGAACCUUUGGUUGUCUGUGCUAUACUCAAGUUCCAGCUGAGAAGAGAAGCAAGCUAGACAAAAGAGCUCAAGCAGGGAUCCUGAUCGGCUACAGCUUGGUUAAGAAGGGCUACAGAAUUCUAGAACCUGCUACAAACAAGAUAUUGGUUAGCAGGGAUGUUGUUUUCAAUGAAAAAGGACACUGGAAUUGGGAGAAGGCUGAACCAGAGGCAGUGGCUGAAGAUCUGGCAGUGGACCAAGUUGAAAAUGGUGAAAACACACCUGAAAUGGAUGUAGAUGAUGUUCCAAUCAGAGGCACUCGAUCACUGGCUGAUGUUUAUGAAAGAGCACAAGUGGCUACUGUUGAACCAAAUUGCUUUGAAGAAGCAGAAAACCAGGAGGACUGGAAGCAAGCAAUGAUUGAAGAAAUCAGAAUGAUUGAAAAGAAUCAGACCUGGAGUCUGGUUGAUAAACCAACAAACAGGAAGAUUAUUGGUGUCAAAUGGGUUUAUCGAGUAAAGAACAAUGCUGAUGGUAGCCUAAACAAGUUAAAGGCUAGAUUGGUUGUGAAAGGCUUCAGUCAAAGGUAUGGAUCAGACUACCUGGAAACCUUUGCACCAGUGGCCAGGUUAGACACUAUUAGACUGCUAGUUGCCUUAGCAGCACAAAAACAGUGGCUGAUACACCAACUUGAUGUAAAAUCAGCAUUUCUGAAUGGAUUCCUUGAAGAGGAGAUUUAUGUGGAGCAACCUCAAGGUUUCAAGGUGUCUGGCAAAGAAGAUAUGGUGUACAAGCUCAACAAAGCCUUGUAUGGCUUGAAACAGGCUCCAAGGGCCUGGUAUAGCAGAAUAGAUGGCUAUCUGACCAGUCAAGGAUUUGAAAGAAGUCUUAGCGAGCCAACUCUGUAUGUUAAAUCAACUAGUGCUGAAACUCAGCUCAUUGUCUCAAUAUAUGUCGAUGACCUACUGGUGACAGGAGGAGAUCAUGAGAUGCUAAGCAGUUUUAAAGUCAAAAUGCAACAGCACUUUGAAAUGUCAGACUUGGGAUUGAUGUCUUACUUCUUAGGCAUGGAAGUAACUCAAGCUAAGAAUGGGAUUUGGCUAAGUCAAAAGACCUUUGCUAUGAAGGUUCUCAACAAAUUCUCAAUGGAGAAUUGCAAAGCAACCAGCACACCAGUUGCUGUUGGAGAAAAACUCUCGAGCCAAGACAAGCAUGAAAAGGUUUGUGAAACAACCUAUCGAAGUCUAGUUAGAUGUUUGUUGUAUUUGACUGCUACUAGACCUGACAUAAUGUAUGCUGUGAGUCUACUCUCGAGGUUUAUGCAUUCUUCAAAUGAAAGUCAUUUUAGAGCUGCAAAAAGGGUUCUAAGAUACAUCAAAGGAACUUUGUCCUAUGGAAUGCAGUUUACCAAGGCUGAGAACUUGAGGCUAGUUGGAUAUUGUGACAGUGAUUGGGCUGGUUCUUUGGAUGACAUGAAGAGCACUACAGGUUAUGCAUUCAACAUAGGCUCUGCUAUGAUAUGCUGGAGCUCAAAGAAGCAAGGAGUAGUGGCUCAGUCGACUGCAGAAGCAGAAUAUGUGGCUGCUGCUGCAGCAGUCAAUCAAGCCAUAUGGCUUAGAAAAAUUUUGAAAGAUAUCAAUCAUGAGCAAAAGGAAGCAACUGAGAUAAUGUCUGACAACCAAUCAGCAGUUGCUAUUGCAAAGAAUCCUGUUUUUCAUGGAAGGACCAAGCACUUCAACAUCAAACUUCAUGCAGUUCGGGAAAUGGAACAAGCUCAUGUUGUUAAGCUGAUACAUUGCAGUUCUGAAGAGCAAAUUACUGAUAUUUUAACAAAAGCACUAAGUGUUUCCAAGUUUCAACACCUGAGAGCUAAUAUGGGAGUUUGCAACAUGCUAACCAAGGAGGAGUGUUGAAGUAAUGGUCAGCAUGCAGCAACCAAGACUGUCAAAGGCACUACAUGCAGAAGCUGCUGGUUCACCUAGUCAGCAAGCUGUUUAUGUUUCAUUUUGUAAUUUUAAGUUAGAGUAAUGUAACUUAGUUGCUUUAUAACUAUGUUAGGUUUAUGUUUGAUGUAAUUUUGAUGUUGACUGAGCUGAUAAAUCAGCUUUGUUUGUUUAUUCAAGCUAAUUAGCACAAGUUACUAUGUGUAUUAGUGGUAGUAGGUGAAGUUUAGGUCAACCUACUGUUUUGUCAAGAUUGUAAACUUGUUUUAUGUAUUGGCUUUGUGCCAUAUUUAGUUUGAUGAAUGAAUUCAAGAAGUUAUCAUCCAUAUGCUCUCCAUUUUUAGUUUUGCUUAAAAAUCCAUUUGAGUUUUCUGCUUUGUUUCUCCUACAAGUCACGAGACUUGCCAUACAAGCAUUCUGCUGAAGCUUGCUGCUGCUGCCUCUUGCACCAACAAGAGGUCUAAGCUUUCCAAACUUUUAAGCCCUUUUAAAAAUUGGGGGAAUUCACUAAGAUUGCAAGAUGACAAAAAUAAGCUUGUAAGAUUAACAGUAGAAGUUGUAUUAGAUGUUAAGGAUAGGCUGUUAUAUGAAAGGUCAAGAUAUUCGAGAUUUGGAAGGUUUGAGAACAUGCGAAACUCUAUGACACCACUAAGAUAAUUUGAGGAUAAGCUAAGUUGGGUAAGAUUGAGAAGUUGGAAUAUUGAAGAUGGAAGAGGACCUUGGAGUUUAUUAUUCUCUAACCAUAUCCAUUCUAGUGAUUUGGAUUGGAAUUCUUUGAUAUGCCCACUGAAUUGAUUUUGAGAGAGAUAUAUUGUCUUUAAGGAGGGAGCAAUAUACAACCAUGACGGAAGUGUUCCAUUGAGUAAAUUGUCAGAUAAGUCUAAAUAUAUUAGAUUAUGAAAAGCGGUUACCUCAUCUGGAAUGGAACCUUCUAAAGAAUUGUUAGAUAUUGUCAAGUAUUCCAGCUGCGUUAGGUUUAGAAUUGACAAUGGAAUUUGUCCACUCAAUUUGUUCCAUCCCAAGUCUAAAACAGUGAGUUGCAAGAGGUUCCCCAAUGAUCUUGGAAUCUGUCCACUCAAUUGGUUCAGCCACAAGUCUAAAUGAGUGAGUUGCAAGAGGUUCCCUAAUGAUCUUGGAAUUUGUCCACUCAAUUGGUUCUUCGACAAGUCUAAAUGAGUGAGUUGCAAGAGGUUCCCCAAUUUUCUUGGAAUUUGUCCACUCAAUUGGUUCUCCGACAAGUCUAAAUGAGUGAGUUUCAAGAGAUUCCCCAGUGAUCUUGGAACCAGUCCUGAUAAGUUGGAAUGGGAGAGAACUAAAAACUUCAAGGACACAAGAUUCCCCAUCGAGUCAGGCAAUCCUCCACAAAUAUUUGCGUCUGAAAUUAUCAAUUGUUCAAGAUUGCUGCUCCGAUUGAACUUCAAAGGAUCAAGAUUGAGGUUUUGGUUGCCUCCCAAGUUGAGGAGAUUGAGGUUUGGCAAAUCAAAAAUGUUUUUUGGGAAUUUUCCUUGCAAAUCACAACCAACAAGACUGAGAGACCUUAGAGAAGAGGAUAGAUUCAUGAAGACAUGAGCAUUAACUGAAGACAUGUCCAUUUCAUCCAAAAACAGACGUCUGACCUCGGUUAGGUUGUGAACAAGACCCUCCAGAGCAUAUUUGUCAAUUGUUAAUAGUUCAUCAAACCCAGAAAGAUCAAGUGAAACCAAUUUUGACAGGUGGGAGACUUGGGAUGGGACUUCUGAAAACCAUGUAUUGGAAAGGUUGAGGUAGAAUAGGCUUGUAAACCGACCGAACUCGGAUGGAAUUUUGGAAGAAUUAAAAUCAUUGUAGGCAAGGUUGAGUUUUUGAAGGUGAGGAAGAAGGAAGAGAGUGGUAUUGGAAGGGAAGGUGCCAUAUAGCCAACUGCAGCUCAAGUCAAGGGCAAUAACAUGAGCAUUUAGGUGGUCACAAGUGACCCCAUCCCAUGAGCAGCAAUCUGUACCCUCCUUCCAUGAAUUUGUCUUGGGAUAAGAUUUAAGGCCAGCAAAAUAAUCGCAAUGAUCAAAAGAAGCAUCCUCUCUUAUGGAAAAGGAGUCCUUAAACUGGAUUAGUGAAGAGCAGGAGUGAGAUCCUGAAGAAGAAAAAGAAGCAUAAAGAUGGAGAAAGAAGAGGAAUAGGGAGAGAAAGAGAUAGGAGGCCAUGUUAUGUUGGUAGAGGAAGAUGAAGGAUAGGAAUGGUAUUUAUAGGCAACAAAUAAUACCACAACAUUGGUGUUACAGUCUUUUUUCUUUUACAUUGAAAAGCUAUGGAUAUUAGAUUUUCAAAAUUUUUGUAUUUUUCACAAUCAUCAACAACCACUUUGUCUUCAUUUUACCAUAUAUUUUUCAUUCUUAAAAUUGGAUUAUUUUCUUUUAGCAAAAUCUUGUAUUUCAUUUGAACUCCCUAAACAACUAAAAAAUUAAGAUUGAUAAAAUUACAAAGUAGAUUGACUUAGUCUUCUUCCUUGUAACACGUAAAGAAUUUCCACGCAAAAGAACAAAAUUGUGCUCUAUUCUUUACGUUUGAGGAAGAAGACUGCUGGAAUUUUAAUCCACUGAUUCCAUAAAAACGUGUAUACUUAUAUAUAUAUAUAUUUAUAACCUCAUAAUUUAAAUCUAAAAUCUCAUUUGUUAUAAAUUCUGAUAAAUUUAUUUGGGAAUUGCUAUUUUUCAUUCGUUAAUUAUUUCUCUUUUAAUCGAGUAAAAAAUUAAAACUAAAGACAUAAUGAUUUAUUUGGUAUUUUUUAACUUCGCAAACGAAAAAUUAUUUUAGCUUUCUAUUUUUUUUUAUCUCUUUUAGUCUUGAAAUUUAUAUGGUUCAUUAAAUCACCCAAAAAAAUGAUGAAAAAAAUAACAAAACUAGCACCUACGUGGCUGAUGUUGACCCUUAAUAGUUAAUGGCAACACCUAUGUAGUUGUUAACAGAUACCACACCAACACUGUUUGUUGACGUGACAAUGCCACAUGAUCAAUAAUCGCAGACAUGGUAGCGCCACGCCAUCGCCCAUUGAUGACAUAUUAACCUUUGAGUUAAACUCAAAUAAUUUGGUCCCAAAUAGUUUUCAACACAAAAGAAUAGAGGAAGAAGACUGCUACAGGUUUAACUAUCAAUUGUCUAUUGACUAUACUUUUAACUCCACUAAAAAAGACCAAGACUAAGACUAUCAAUUGUCUAUUGACUACACUUUAACUCGACAAAAAAAGACCAAGACUAAGACUAUCAAUUGUCUAUUGGCUUCACACUUGCUGUUGCUUCCUCCUAUUUCUCUCACCCAAACUUAAUUUACAAGCAAUGUGGAAAUUUUGGACAUUUGCCCACAACGUACAAUACUUCCACACCAUUUGCAGUAUUGACUACGUUUACUUGAGGGAAAACAAAGACAUGAACGCUGGAAAUUUUAACUAGUUUGUACCGUCAAUGAAGCUACGUACCUAAAAGCCAUUUAGGAUAUCAAUUCCUGUAAUUGGAGUAAUCUCAUCGUUGCUGCAAUCUUUUGACAGUUUAAUCGAAUCUUAAAUAUGUUACUCUGCAAUGCUAUUGUAAAUAUUUUUCUUAAAUUUGUCGAUAGAUUUAUAGGUUUGGCACAAAAUUAAGAAUACACAAAGGCAGGUUGAAUUAUUCCAUGUUUGAACAUCUGCAACAUAAAUGCAUAUGGCAAAAGGGCUCAAACCAUACCUUAUGUUCAUGAAUUCUCAUCAUCACGUGUUUAUAAAUGCAACUCAAACUUCAAUAAUUGAAUCUUUUGUAAUUCUACAUGUAUUUUUUUAUUAUGGCGAGCAGUAUAAUGUUUACUAAAAAUUGAAAUUCAAGAAAGAAGACAUAUAUAGUUGCACCAUACAAGAUGUUACACUCGAACUAAACGCUUACAAAUAGUACGAAAUGCAAUUGAAUACAGAGGAAUUGGUACAAUCAUAAAAACAGACACAUACCAAUGCAACUUUUCACCAUAGGAAAAACUUUCUGACAGACUACUAAACAAGAAAUUAUGAAGACACAGUAGAAAUGCUUUAACUUCAUUUGCACCAACUAGAUCAUUCUUCAUCCACUCAUGCGAUUGCUAUAUUUUGGCUUUCUUCUUCGCCUCUUCUCAUGUUGGUCUUCAACCAAAUUCACGAACCUUUUCACCUUAUCGGUUUGGAAAACAACACAUCCCAUGGCCAUUCCAAACACUACCCCGGAUCCAUAACCUAUCAACACCACUUUCCAACCAAAAGCAAUGUUUGCUUUUGAGCCAUCCUUUUCCAGCACAUUUGGAGGUGGUGUCUCAUUGAUGCUGCAACCUUUGGAGACUGGAAAUCCACAUAGUCUCUGUUUCCUUCGUAUGAAUUGUUUCCAAAUGUAUUGAACUGUUUGCCUUGAGGAAUCUGACCAUGGAGUUGAUUUUCGGAAACGUUUAAUAAGGAAAGAAAUGCCGGAUCUGCCAAUAUCUCUGGAAUUAACUCAGUUCAAAAGACUAUAUAACUCGUAAAGUUUGGUCGAAGACUAGCAGGGGUCAAGAAAAAUAAUUACUUGAAUUGUCAAAAUUUUGGAUUUUAGAGAAACAAGCACUAGACUUGGAGCUAUGGUCAUGCAAGGAACCAUGCAUUUCAUUUGACUUUAGUACAAGAACUUGUAGCCGUGGAAGACUUCCCUACCAAUGAGGAAAUGUAUCAUUGAUCUUGUUGUUCCUAAGAUCUAGCACUUCCAAAGACCUAAAAUUGAGGAUGGAUGGUGACAAAUGCCAUUCAAAUUGAUUUCCAUUUAAGUUGAGAUUACUCAAUUGGCAUCCCUUUGCAAAUGUUGGAGGAAUCAAUCCAUAAAACUUGUUCUUCUUUAGAUUCAAAAAUUCCAGGUUGUUGCUCAAAUUUCCAAAACAUUGUAGAAUAGUUCCACUCAAUUUAUUGUGGGACAAGUCAAGAAUUUGGAGAGCACUCACAUUGCCUAUCAAAGAAGAGACCUCUCCACUUAAACUAUUGUUUGAAGUAAAAAACACGUUGAUUGUCGAAGAUGGGAUUGGAAGAUUUCCAUGGAUCAAAUUGGAGCUUAAGUCAAGAAUAUUAAUAUUCUUCCAUGGAAGUUGCUCAACUUCUGUCAAUGAAUUGUGAGAUAAAUUUAAGUAACUCAAAGAGUCACACGUCACUUCUUGCAGCCAUUGUGGAAUCUUCCCUUCAAUUCUAUUGUUAGAAAGCUCCAAAGUUUUCAACUUUUUUAACCCUUUCAAAAAUCGGGGGAAUUGGCUGACAUUAUUUGAGCUUAAGGAUAGGCUGUUUAGUGAAAGGUCAAGAUAUUCGAGAUUUGGGAGAUUUGAGAACAUGCCAAACUCUAUGACACCACUGAAAUUAUUUGAGUAUAAAAGGAGCCAGGUAAGGUUGAGAAAUUGGAAUAUUGAAGAUGGAAGAGGACCUUGGAGAUUAUUAUUCCCUAACACUAUCAUUCUAGUGAUUUGGAUUGGAAUUCUUUGAUGUGUCCACUGAAUUGAUUCUGAGAGAGAGAUAUUUCCAUUAAGGAGAAAGCAUUAUACAACCAUGACAGAAGUUUUCCAUUGGGUAAAUUGUUAGAUAAGUCUAAAGAUAUUAGAUUAGGGAAAGCAGCUACCUCAUCUGGAAUGGGACCUUCUAAAGAAUUUUCAGCUAUUCUCAAGUGUUCAAGCUGUGUUAGGUUUACAAUUGACAAUGGAACUUGUUCACUCAAUUGGUUCCAUGACAAGUCUAAAUAUAUGAGCCACAAGAGGUUCCCCAGAGAUCUCGAAAUUGAUCCCUGUAAAUUGGAAUUAGAGAGAGACAAAUAUUUCAAGACGUGCAGGUUGUCAAUCAAAUCAAUCAAUUUUGAAAAGGAGGACAUCCAUGACAGAUCCAAAUGUUCAAGAUUACUGCUCUGAUUGAACUUCAGAAGAUCAAGAAUCAGGUUUCGGUUGUAUCCUAAGUUGAGCAAAUUGAGGUUUGGCGAAUGAAGAACGUUUCUUGAGAAUUUUCCUUGCAAAUCACAACCACCAAGACUGAGAGACUUUAUAGAAGAGGAUAGAUUGAUGAAAACAUUAGGAUUAAUAGAAGGCAUGAUAAUUCUAUCAAGAAAAAGAUGUCUCACCUCAGUUAGGUUGUGAACAAGUCCCUUCAAAGAAUUUUAUCAAGUGUUAAUUGGUCAGAAAAAACAUUAUGAGAGAGAUCAAGUGAAACCAAUUUUGACGAGUGGGAGAUUUGGGAUGGGACUUUUCCUGCAAAUAACGUUUCUGAGAUGUUAAGAUACACCAGGCUUGUAAACCGGCCGAACUCGGAUGGAAUUUUGGAAAGAUUAAAAUCAUUGUAGGCAAGGUUGAAUUUUUGAAGGUGAGGAAGAAGGAAGAGAGUGGUAUUGGAAGGGAAGUUGCCAUAUAGACAACUGCAGCUCAAGUCAAGGGCAAUAUAUAACUUGAGCAUUUAGGUGGUCACAAGUGACCCCAUCCCAUGAGCAGCAAUCUGUACCCUCAUUCCAUGAAUUUGUCCUGGGAUAAGAUUUAUGGCCAUCAAUCUCAUUGCUAUAAGAAGAAGCAUACUCUGUUAUGGAAAAAGAGUCCUUAAACUGGAUUAGUGAAGAGCAGGAGUGAGAUCCUGAAGAAGAAAAAGAAGCAUAAAGAUGGGGAAAGGUUAAGGUAGAAUAGGCUUGUAAACCGACCGAACUCGGAUGAAAUUUUGGAAAGAUUAAAAUCAUUGAAGGCAAGGUUGAGUUUUUGAAGGUGAGGAAGAAGGAAGAGAGUGGUAUUGGAAGGGAAGUUGCCAUAUAGCCAACUGCAGCUCAAGUCAAGGGCAAUAACUUGAGCAUUAAGGUGAUGACAAGUGACCCCACACCAUGAGCAGCAAUCUGUACCCUCCUUCCAUGAAUUUGUCUUGGGAUAAGAUUUAAGGCCGGCAAAAUCAUCGCAACACAAAGCAGCAUGGCCUGUCUGAGUGAUCGAAAAUGAAUUCUUGAACUGGAUUAGAGAAGCAGCUUCGUGGUGAGAGCAGGAGUGAGAUCCUGAAGAAGAAGAAGCAUAAAGAUGGGGAAAGAAGAGGAAUAGGCAGAGAGAGAGAUAGGGGCCAUGUUAUGUUUGUAGAGGAAGAUGAAGGAUAGGAAUGGUAUUUAUAGGCAACAAAUAGAAUCCAAUAUUAAACAAAAGAUUUGAUGAUUAAUACCACAACACCACUGUUACAGUGUUGUUUCUUUUAUGGUAUAAAGAUUGUUAUUGGAAGAGUUUGAAAUGCUGACAUUGAAAACCUAUAUUUUUCAAUACUCAUCAACAACCACUUCCUUUUUACCAUAUCUUUUUCAUUCCCAAAAUUGGAUACAUUGUUUUACCAAAAUUUUGUAUUUCAUUUGAACUCCCUAAACAACUGAGAAAAUUAACAUUGAUGAGAUUACAAAGUAGAUUGACUUAGUCUUCUUCCUUAUAAUAGGUAAAAAAAAAAUGUGAGUGUCUAUUCACUUAUAAUAUUUCCAUGCUAGAGGUAGUUUUUGGAAAAUCUUUAAUUAAAUCUUAAUUUCAUUUUGUUAAAAUUUUAAACUGGGUUAUCGAAUUGGCUUCUGAUUGUAGGUUGAUCAAUGAUGGGCCGAUUUCUUCUUCUUCUUUUUUAAUUUUUUUAGGGUUAAUUUAUAAUAUACUGCUUAAUGUUGUUGAUUUAUUUUUCUGGUCAUCGUUUCAUCCGUUUGUUGAAGAUAACUGAAUUUUUAUUGGUUGUAAUUGGACUUGGGUUUUAGCCAAUGACUAUAAUCAAAGGGUUAAUUUAAGGUUCCAAUGAAUUGUUUGAAAAUUUUAUUAUUUUUCUUUUCAAUUAGUUGUUUUACAAGGAUUUAACUUAUAUUAGUCAAAUGAACUGGCUUUAAAAAAUGAACAAGAACGAAGAAAUUGGAUGGUUAACUGGACACUGGAAAGGGGGAAUGCUAAAAGUUGUAAAUGUUUUGAAUAUAGAGUUGUAUUCUUUUCAUGGCUUCAGAAAAAUGUAUGCAAUGUUUGGCCAGCGAUAAUGGACAAGUUUUUUUAAACCUCCAUGCCUUAGUCAUGCUUUCAUAAACAUGGGCAGCUAACACCGAGAAGUCUCAUUGAAUGUAGUAAGCGAUUUAAAAGUGAAGCUCAUAUGCGACCGGGGAUGGUUGAUUUGAGGUUUAAUUCUAGCUAGUAGAUUCUGUUGUUUGUUAAGCGUCUUUUUGGAGACAAAUGUCUGAGAUUGCUGGAAAAUGCUUCUUACCAUCAUAUUAAUGUGUAUUUGGGUUGCGUUUUCUUAGAGUUUUGGAUUCUUUGCAUCAUAUCAUAAAAUUGAGUUAGAUAUAACAUCUCAUUGUUAUCUGUUAAUUGUUUCACUUGGGACCAGGAGCAUGCUGGCAACUCAAUACAGCUGUAAAUGCAUAUUUCAGUGAGGGUGAUAGGUAUAUAUUUAUGAAUUAUCCUAAUAUUUUUUAUGAUAAGUAAUUCUAGGUUUAUAGCUUUAUUUGUUUGUUUGUUUUCUCGUGUUUCCUACAAAAAAAGGCCAACAUCAACCAUAGUUCCUGUAGAUGAUGCCAUGGAUAUAGAUGAUCCAAAUGAAGUAGUACCAAAUGGGCCAGUCCUUCCAUUUCUACCAUCAUCUAGAACAAACGAACAAUCGUCUCUUUUUCUGAAAUUUCCGGCGCGACGCCUGUGCGGGGGGCCUUGGCCGGAAUCUGGACUUAGUCCAGAGAGUUUUUUUUUCUUUCUUCUGUUUUUUUUUUUCAAUGUUCAAAUGAUUUUUUUUCUCAAAACACUAAUUUUUAUGCCCAGUGAAACGGCGCCGUUUUGGCUAAGCUCCAAAACACCCAAAACGACGUCGUUUCACUCGCCACCAACUUGAAUUUUAUAACUACUCCUAUGCCAACCAGCAAACCAUAACAGCGUACAUAAAAAAGAGGAUGCUGACUUACAAUUCCUUUCAUUUCACCAUAACCAAUCAAAUCCCUUGCAAUGCUGUUUGGAUCACAGCAGCUCAUCUUUCAAUCCUAGAUGGCUCCGCUAAUUUUUUGAAAGCAUACAUAAACUGUUAAAGAAAUAAAUGGAUAAAACAACUACAGGAUAGAAGGCUGAAAAAUUACAAAGUGCAAUGACCUUAUUGUUAAAAUUUCAACGCCCAUUCCUUGGAAAGAUAUCUUCACCAUUGCCCACUCAAGAGAACUCAAAUAGCAGCAAGAUCUAGUAUAAAAUGUAACUCUCAACAACACACACAAAUGUUUGUUCUAUCAAGGAGCAAUACACAGACAUAUUCACCUACCCUUGGUUCUAGCUUUGCAUAUUACAUAACACUCUUCAAAUGUCUUAUUAAAUUCUCACUUUUACGAGUGCUAUGAUAAUCAAAUAAAAUUCAAUUCAAUUUUAAGUUCCAUAUAACACUUACAUGGCUACAAAAUGUGUGUGUGUUUAAGUGUCGACAACCACAAACAAUCCAAAUUUGCAGAGAAACCACCCAUUAUAUAUAGGUUUGCCAAUGAGAUGGCAAGCAGAUUGCUAGCUAGAAAUUCAUGCAUCUUUGAAUCACCAGUUCAAUUAAUAAGCUUAAGUAGAGGAAAUAGGGACUUUACAUCCACCAAUUAAAGCAACCUAUAUGUACCCUUUUACAGUCUGCAUUGUUCCAUGUUUCAAUUCAUUACAUCAUUCCUUCAACUCUGCUAUAUAUUAUUACCGUCUCCAGAUAACCAAACCUUUUACUGCUAACUUGUAAAAAAAUUAUGAAAAUACAACAGAGAUCAUUGAGACAUUGUUGAAGUUGGCUUGCAUGCAGAGCAAGAAGCAGACCAAGCUGUCCGAGCCAUGCAAGUUGCAGCUGAAGCUUAUGCUGCUGUUUUGUUACUUUCAAAUAGAUAUUUUAUUACUUAGUUAGAUAUGAACUAAGUUGUUGAUAUGCUUGAUGUGAUUAGGUGCUGAUAGAUUGAUAAAUCAGCUUUACCAAGUGUACAAGCAAUGUUUAUCAAGUUACUAAGCCACUUAGUGGAGUUAGGCACGUGUUUAGGUAACAUUUUCUUAUUUUUGACCAGCUGAUUGCUCGGUAUAUGUAAUGGAAUUGUGCCUUCAUUUGGUCUUUACUUAAGCAUUUUUAUUCAAAAAGCUCUUGCUGUUUUUGUUUUGUUUGUUGUGCAAGAUAUCAAUGCUUUAUGCUUAAGUUUCUGUCAAAAUUUCUCAUUCUGUUUUCUUAGUUCCUACAGACAUUUUGUUCUCCUUUCUCCUUUACUGAGCAGUAGCAAAGAUUAUUGAGACUAAAUUGAAAUCCAUGAAAGAAGACAUAAACAACACCACCAUACAAAAUGUCACACUCAAACAAACCAUUACAGAUAGUACGAAAUGCAAUGAAAGACAGAGGAAUUGGUACAAUAAUAAAGACAGCCAGAUACCAAUGCAACCCUUCACCAUAGGCACAACGGUCUACAAACAAGAAAUUAUGAAAAAUACAACACUAAUUCUUGAACAUCAUUUGCAGUAAUUAGAUCCUUCUUCGUCUACUGCUGCGAUUGCCUUUCUUUGACUUUCUUCUUCGCCUCUUCUCAUGUUGGUUUUCAACCAAAUUCACCAACCAUUUUGGCUUUCCAGUUUGGAAAACAACAUAUCCCACGGACAUUCCGAACACUACUCCGCAUCCACAACCUAUCAUCACCACUUUCCAACCAAAAGCAAUGUUUGAUUUUGAGCCAUCUUUUUCAAGCACAUUUGGAGGUGGUGGGUCAAUGAUGUUGCAACCUUUCGAGACCGGAAACCCACACAGUCCCUUAUUUCCUUCAUAUGAAUCAUUUCCAAAUGUGUUGAAUUGUUUGCCUUGGGGAAUCUUACCAUGGAGUUGAUUUUCAGAAACAUUUAAGGACGAAAGAAACGGCAGAUCUGCCAAUCUAUUUGGAAUCGCCCCAGACAACCUGUUUGAAGAUAGGUCCAACCAUUCAAGACUUGUCAAAUUCCCUAUUGAUGUGGGGAUACCACCAUUAAGGUUAUUAUGAGAAAGGUUGAGCCCUUUCAGUAAGUUAAGCUUCCCAAUAACCUUUGGAAUACCCCCUUCAAACUGAUUGUUUGAUAGAUCAAUGAUCAUCCACAUGGUGAAAAUUUUCACCAAUUCCCUAUCUUGUCCUUUCAUAACAAUUCCAAUGGAAUAGGUAUAGAAGUCACCUCCAUCAUCAUUCACCCCCAUGUACGACACUGUACUACCAAUCUUCUCUAGAUUUAUGAUAGCCUUGAAGCUGUUGAUGUAUCUCACUGGUAGGGGUCCAGAAAAAUAAUUACUUGAGAGAUCAAAAAUUUGGAUUUUAGAGAAAAAAGGGAUAGACUUGGAGCUAUUGACACAUAAGGAACCAUGCAAUUGAUUUGACUUCAAUACAAGAACUUGUAGCCGUGGAAGACUUCCCAACCAAUGAGGAAAUGUAUCAUUGAUCUUGUUGUUACCAAGAUCUAGCACUUCCAGACCAUUACAAUUAAGGAUGGAUGGUGUCAAAGGCCCUUCUAACAGAUUUCCAUUUAAGUUGAAAUUACUCAAUUGGCAUCCCAUUGCAAAUGUUGGAGGAAUCGUCCCAUAGAACUUGUUCUUCUUCAGAUUCAAGAAUAGAAGGCUGUUGCUCAAAUUUCCAAAACAUUGUGGAAUUGUUCCACUCAAGUUAUUGUGGGACAAAUCAAGAAUUUCAAGAAAAGCGGCAUUGCAUAUUAAAGAAGAGACCUCUCCAUUGAAACUAUUAUUAGAGAUCAAAAAGACAUUGAUGGUCGAAGCUGGAAUCGGAAGAUUUCCACUGAUCAAAUUGGAGCUUAAGUCAAGAACGUCAAUAUUCUUCCAUGGAAAGUGCUCAACUUCUGUCAAAGAGUUGUGAGAUACGUUUAAGUAAGUCAAAGAGUCAUUCCCCACCUCUUGCAUCCACUGUGGAAUCUUGCCUUCAAUUUUGUUGUAAGAGAGGUCUAAGCUUUCCAAACUUUUAAGCCCUUUUAAAAAUUGGGGGAAUUCACUAAGAUUGCAAGAUGACAAAAACAACCUUGUAAGAUUAACAGUAGAAGUAGUAUUAGAUGUUAAGGAUAGGCUGUUAUAUGAAAGGUCAAGAGAUUCGAGAUUUGGAAGGUUUGAGAACAUGCGAAACUCUAUGACACCACUAAGAUAAUUUGAGGAUAAGCUAAGUUGGGUAAGAUUGAGAAGUUGGAAUAUUGAAGAUGGAAGAGGACCUUGGAGUUUAUUAUUCUCUAACGCUAUCCAUUCUAGUGAUUUGGAUUGGAAUUCUUUGAUAUGCCCACUGAAUUGAUUUUGAGAGAGUUUUAUAUCCUUUAAGGAGGGAGCAGUAUACAACCAUGAUGGAAGUUGUCCACUGAGUAAAUUGUUAGUUAAGUCUAAAGAUAUUAGAUUAGGAAAAGCGGUUACCUCAUCUGGAAUAGAACCUUUUAAUGUAUUUCCAGCUAUUCUCAAGUAUUCCAGCUGCGUUAGGUUUAGAAUUGACAAUGGAAUUUGUCCAUUCAAUUGGUUCUGCCACAAGCCUAAAUAAGUGAGUUGCAAGAGGUUCCCCAAUGAUCUUGGAAUUUGUCCACUCAAUUGGUUUUGCCACAAGCCUAAAUAAGUGAGUUGCAAGAGGUUCCCCAAUGAUCUUGGAAUUUGUCCACUCAACUGGUUCCCCGAUAAGUCUAAAUGAGUGAGUUGCAAGAGAUUCCCCAGUGAUUUUGGAACCGGUCCUGAUAAGUUGGAAUAGGAGAGAUCUAAAAACUUCAAGGACACAAGAUUACCCACCGAGUCUGGCAAUCCUCCAAAAAAAUUUGCGCCUGAAAUUAUCAAUUGCUCCAAAGAUGAUAAAUUUGUGAUUGAGACAGACAAUCCUUGAAAGAAAAAAUUUCCUGAUAGACCUAAGGACUUUAAGGCCUGUAGAUUAUCAACUGAAUCAAUGAAUUCUGUAGAGAAGGACGUCCAUGACAGAUCCAAAUGUUCAAGAUUGCUGCUCCGAUUCAACUUCAAAGGAUCAAGAUUGAGGUUUUGGUUGUUUCCCAAGUUGAGGAGAUUGAGGUUUGGCAAAUCAAAAAUGUUGUUUGGGAAUUUUCCUUGCAAAUCACAACCAGCAAGACUGAGAGACCUUAGAGAAGAGGAUAGAUUCAUGAAGACAUGAGCAUUAACAGAAGCCAUCUCCAUUCCAUCCAAAAACAGAUGUCUGACCUCGGUUAGGUUUUGAACAAGUCCCUCCAGAGCAUGUUUGUCUCCUACAAACCCUGUACUGGAAAGGUCGAGGUAGAGUAGGCUUGUAAACCGACCUAACUCGGAUGGAAUUUCGGAAAGAUUAAACUCAUUGUAGGCAAGGUUGAGUUUUUGAAGGUGAGGAAGAAGGAAGAGAGUGGAAUUGGAAGGGAAGUUGCCAUAUAGCCAACUGCAGCUCAAGUCAAGGGCAAUAACAUGAGCAUUUAGGUGGUCACAAGUGACCCCAUCCCAUGAGCAGCAAUCUGUACCCUCCUUCCAUGAAUUUGUCUUGGGAUAAGAUUUAUGGCCAGCAAUCUCAUUGCAAUAAGAAGAAGCGUCCUCUGUUAUGGAAAAAGAGUCCUUAAACUGGAUUAGUGAAGAGCAGGAGUGAGAUCCAGAAGAAGAAAAAGAAGCAUAAAGAUGGGGAAAGAAGAGGAAUAGGCAGAGGAAGAGAUAGGGGGCCAUGUUAUGUCUGUAGAGGAAGAUGAAGGAUAGGAAUGGUAUUUAUAGGCAACAAAUAAUACCGCAGUGUUACAGUCUUUUUUUCUUUUACAUUGAGAAGCUAUGGAGAUUAGAUUUUCAAAAUUUUUGUAUUUUUAACAAUCAUCAACAGUCACUUAGUCUUCUUUUUACCAUAUAUUUUUCAUUCUUAAAAUUGGAUGCUAUCUUUUCGCAAAAUCUUGUGGAAAUUCUUUAGCCUUCUUCUCUAUAACACUUAAAGAAUGUGUGUAUGUAUUCAUUUGCCUGUCAACUAAAGCUAAUUAAUGUGGAAAUUCUUUUCCACCCAAAAGAACAAAAUUGUGCUCUAUUCAUUAAGUUUGAGGAAGAAGAUUGCUGGAAAUUUAAUCUACCGAUUCCAUAAAAAACGUGUAUACUUAUAUAACCUCAUAAUUCAAAUCUAAAAUCUCAUUUGUUAUAAAUUCUGAUAAAUUUCUUUGGAAUUGCUAUUUUUCAUUUGUUAAUUAUUUCUCUUUUAAUCGAGUAAAAAAUUAAAACUAAAAAGACAUAAUGAUUUAUUUGGCAUUUUUAAACUUUACAAAUAAAAAAUCAUUUUAGCUUUUCAUUUUUUUAUCUCUAUUAAAUCACCCAAAAAAAAUAAUGAAAAAGACUAACAAAACUAGCACCUACGUGGCUGAUGUUGACCCUUAGUAGUUAAUGACAACAUCUACGUAGUUGUUAACAGAUACCACACUAACACUGUUUGUUGACGUGACAAUGCCACAUGAUCAAUAAUCACCGACAUGGUAGCGCCACGCUAUCGCCCAUUGGUGACAUAUUGAUGUUUGAGUUAAACUCAAAUUACUAUUUCCUUUGUUAUAAAUUAAGAGUAUAACUAAUUUUGAUAAGAAUGAUUACUUUUCAUUAACUCAGUCUAAAGGACUAUAACACGUAAAGUUUGGCCUAUUGCAGAAUUCACAUGCAAUGCGGGGCAUUUACAUUAUGCAGAAUUCGGCACAUAUAUGGGAAUUUUUGUAUUUCCACAAUCAUCAUGUUGUUCGUGAUCAACAACUACUUCCUUUUUACCAUAUAUUUUUCAUUCAUAAAAUUGAUUACUUUUUUUUUUACGAAAGAAGUAAAAUUAUUAACAUUCAUGAUAUUACAAAGCCUUCUUCCUUAUAACACGUCAAGUUUGGCCCCAAAUAAUUUUCCAGACAAAAGAAUUAAGAGGAAGGAGACUGCUACAGAUUGACUAUACUUUUAACUCCACAAACAAAGACUAAGACUAUCAAUUGUCUAUUGACUACACUUUAACUCGACAAAAACAGAUUGACUAUACUUUUAACUCCACAAACAAAGACUAAGACUAUCAAUUGUCUAUUGACUUCACUUUAACUCGACAAAAACAGACUAAUAAGACUUUGGUUGGCUGUAAUGGGCUAUUGACUAUACUUUAACUCCGCAAAAAAAGACUAAGGCUAUCAAUUGUCUAUUGACUUCACACUUGCUGUUGCUUCCUCCUAUCUCUAUCACUUGCUUCCUCCUAUCUCUAUCACCCAAACUUAAUUUACAAGCAAUGUGGAAAUUUUGGACAUUUGGGCCACAAUGUACAAUACUUCCACACCAUUUGCAGUAUUGACUACGUUUACUUGAGGGCAAACAAAGACAUGAAUGCUGGAAAUUUUAACUAGUUUGUACCGUCAAUGAAGCUACGUACCUAAAAGCAAUGUAUUAUCACCGUCUCCAGAAAUUUUGCUAAUUCAAUUUCCCAAGAAAUAUGAUUAAUUUUGGUUAAAUUGGAGUGAACAUUACUAUUUCUGUUUUAGCAAUUAAAGCAACCUAUAUGUACCCUUUUACAGUCUGCAUUGUUCCAUGUUUCCAUUCAUUACAUCAUUCCUUCAACUCUGCUAUAUAUUAUCACCGUCUCCAGAGAACCAAACCUUUUACUGCUAACUUGUAAAAAAAUUAUGAAAAUACAACAGAGAUUAUUGAGACAUUGUUGAAGUUGGCUUGCAUGCAGUAGACAUUGUUAAUCUUAUUAUUAUUAUUAUUAUUAUUAACUCAUGAACCCAUGGUUACACUUCCAACAGAGGUGAGAGAGGUUAAGAGUAGCCAUGAGCCAUCUAGUCAUGCUCCUGUUGUUGAGGAUGCCUCUGAAACUGCACAAGCUCUCAGCCCGAAUUCAAAUCUAAAAUCUCAUUUGUUAUAAAUUCUGAUAAAUUUAUUUGGGAAUUGCUAUUUUUCAUUCGUUAAUUAUUUCUCUUUUAAUCGAGUAAAAAAUUAAAACUAAAAAGACAUGAUAAUUUACUUGGCAUUUUUUAACUUUACAAACAAAUAGUCAUUUUAGCUUUCCAUUUUUUUUUUCUCUUUUAGCCUUGAAACUUAUAUGGUUCCUUAAAUCACUCCAAAAAAAAUGAUGAAAAAGACUAACAAAUUCUAGCACCUACGUGGCUGAUGUUGACCCUAGUAGUUAAUGGCAACACCUACGUAGUGGUUAACAGAUACCACACCAACACUGUUUGUUGACGUGACAAUGCCAAAUGGUCAAUAAUCGCUGACAUGGUAGCGCCACGCCAUCGCCCAUUGAUGACAUGUUAACCUUUGAGUUAAACUCAAAUUACUCUUUCCUUUGUUAUAAAUUAAGAGUAUAAAUAAUUCUGAUAAGAAUAGUUACUUUUCAUUAACUCAGUUUAAAGGACUAUAACACGUAAAGUUUGGUCUAUUGCAGAAUUCACAUGCCAUGCGGGACGUUUACAUUAUGCAGAAUUCAACACAUAUAUGGGAAUUUUUGUAUUUCCACAAUCAUCAAAUAAUUUUCAUAAAUUGAUUACUUUCUUUUUACCAUAUAAUUUUCAUUCAUAAAUUGAUUACUUUUUUUUUACAAAAGAAGUAAAAUAAUUAAUAUUCGUGAGAUUACAAAGUCUUCUUCCUUAUACACGUCAAGUUUGGUCUCAAAUAAUUUUCCACACAAAAGAAUACUUUUAACAAUCAAUUGUCUAUUGACUAUACUUUGAACUCCACAAAAAAGACUAAGACCUUCAAUUGUCUAUUGACUACACUUUAACUCGACAAAAAAAGACUAAGACUAUCAAUUGUCUAUUGACUAUCAAUUGGUUCCAUGACAAGUCUAAAUAUAUGAGCCACAAGAGGUUCCCCAAUGAUCUCGAAAUUGAUCCCCGUAAAUUGGAAUUAGAGAGAGACAAAUAUUUCAAGACAUGCAGGUUGUCAAUCAAAUCAAUCAAUUUCGUAAAGGAGGACAUCCAUGACAGAUCCAAAUGUUCAAAAUUACUGCUCUGAUUGAACUUCAGAAGAUCAAGACUAAGGAUUCGGUUGUAUCCUAAGUUGAGCAAAUUGAGGUUUGGCGAAUGAAGAAUGUUUCUUGAGAACUUUCCUUGCAAAUCACAACCACCAAGACUGAGAGACUUUAUAGAAGAGGAUAGAUUCAUGAAAACAUUAGGAUUAAUAGAAGGCAUGAUAAUUCUAACAAGAAAAAGAUGUGUCACCUCAGUUAGGUUGUGAACAAGUCCCUCCAAAGAAUUUUAUCAAGAGUUAAUUGGUGAGAAAAAACAUUAUGAGAGAGAUCAAGUGAAACCAAAUUUGACGAGUGGGAGAUUUGGGAUGGGACUUUUCCUGUAAAUAACGUUUUUUAGAUGUUAAGAUACACCAGCCUUGUAAACCGACCGAACUAGGAUGGAAUUUUGGAAAGAUUAAAAUCAUUGUAGGCAAGGUUGAGUUUUUGAAGGUGAGGAAGGAGGAAGAGAGUGGUAUUGGAAGGGAAGUUGCCAUAUAGCCAACUGCAGCUCAAGUCAAGGGCAAUAACAUGAGCAUUAAGGUGAUGACAAGUGACCCCAUACCAUGAGCAGCAAUCUGUACCCUCCUUCCAUGAAUUUGUCUUGGGAUAAGAUUUAAGGCCGUCAAAAUCAUCGCAAUACAAAGCAGCAUGGUCUGUCUGAGUGAUCGAAAAUGAAUUCUUGAACUGGAUUAGAGAAGCAGCUUCGUGGUGAGAGCAGGAGUGAGAUCCUGAAGAAGAAGAAGCAUAAAGAUGGGGAAAGAAGAGGAAUAGGCAGAGAGAGAGAUAGGGGCCAUGUUAUGUUUGUAGAGGAAGAUGAAGGAUAGGAAUGGUAUUUAUAGGCAACAAAUAGAAUCCAAUAUUAAACAAAAGCUUUGAUGAUUAAUACCACAACACCACUGUUACAGUGUUGUUUCUUUUAUGGUAUAAAGAUUGUUAUUGGAAGAGUUUGAAAUGCUGACAUUGAAAACCUAUAUUUUUCAAUACUCAUCAACAACCACUUCCUUUUUACCAUAUCUUUUUCAUUCCCAAAAUUGGAUACAUUGUUUUACCAAAAUUUUGUAUUUCAUUUGAACUCCCUAAACAACUGAGAAAAUUAACAUUGAUGAGAUUACAAAAUAGAUUGACUUAGUCUUCUUCCUUAUAAUACGUAAAAAAAAAUGUGAGUGUCUAUUCACUUAUAAUAUUUCCAUGCUAGAGGUAGUUUUUGGAAAAUCUUUAAUUAAACCUUAAUUUCAUUUUGUUAAAAUUUUUAACUGGAUUAUCGAAUUGGCUUCUGAUUGUAGGUUGAUCAAUGAUGGGCUGAUUUCUUCUUCUUCUUUUUUAAUUUUUUUAGGGUUUAUAAUAUACUGCUUAAUGUUGUUGAUUUAUUUUUCUGAUCAUCGUUUCAUUCGUUUGUUGAAGAUAACUGAAUUUUUAUUGGUUGUAAUUGGACUUGGGUUUUAGCCAAUGACUAUAAUCAAAGGGUUAAUUUAAGGUUCGAAUGAAUUAUUUGAAAAUUUUAUUAUUUUUCUUUUCAAUUAGUUGUUUUACAAGGAUUUAACUUAUAUUAGUCAAAUGAACUGGGUUUAAAAAAUGAACAAGAACGAAGAAAUUGGAUGGUUGACUGGACACUGGAAAGGGGAAAAGCUAAAAGUUGUAAAUGUUUUGAAUAUAGAGUUGUAUUCUUUUCAUGGCUUCAGAAAAAUGUAUGCAAUGUUUGGCCAGCGAUAAUGGACAAGUUUUUUUAAACCUCCAUGCCUAAGUCAUGCUUUCAUAAACAUGGGCAGCUAACACCGAGAAGUCAGUAAGCGAUUUAAAAGUGAAGCUCAUAUGCGUCAUUGCUACUCGCUUUGCAGCUAAACUCCUGAGUGACCGGGGAUGGUUGAUUUGAGGUUUAAUUCUAGCUAGUAGAUUCUUAGGUUUGUUAAGGGUCUUUUUGGAGACAAAUGUCUGAGAUUGCUGGAAAAUGCUUCUUACCAUCAUAUUAAUGUCUAUUCGGGUUGCGUUUUCUUAGAGUUUUGGAUUCUUUGCAUCUUAUCAUAAAAUUGAGUUAGAUAUAACAUGUCAUUGUUAUCUGUUAAUUGUUUCACUUGGGACCAGGAGCAUGGUGGCAACUCAAUACAGCUGUAAAUGCAUAUUUCAGCGAGGGUGAUAGGUAUAUAUUUAUGAAUUAUGCUAAUAUUUUGUUAUGAUAAGUAAUUCUAGGUUUAUAGCUUUAUUGGUUUGUUUGUUUUCUCAUGUUUCCUACAAAAAUAAGGCCAACAUCAACCAUAGUUUCUGUAGAUUAUGCCAUGGAUAUAAAUGAUCCAAAUGAAGUUGUACCAAAUGGGCCAGUCCCUUCCAUUUCUACCAUCAUCUAGAACAAACGAACAAUCGUCUCUUCAUCAUCGAAACUUCCAUAGCAGUUUCUUCGAUGGUGAUUCUGGUUCAACUUAUGAACCAAUUGAUACAUAUCCAACAGAGGUGAGAGGGGUUAAGUAUAGCCAUGAGCCAUCUAGUCAUGCUCCUGUUGUUGAGGAUGCCUCUGAAACUGCACAAGCUCUCGGCCCGAAUUCCCAUGAGACUGUUACAAUUGGUGAAGUAGGUGACGAUUCAAUUGCGCAGCCAAGGUGGCAGAAUGAUAACUGUAACAACCAGCAUGUUACACCCAGCGCUCCUGCCUUUGAUAAUUUGCUAGACUAUGGCGAUGACAUUGAAGAACAAAUGAUUCAAGCUGCCAUUGAGGCCUCUAAGCGGGAUGCUGAGGCAAGUUUUAAAAAAAGGACGCUUCCAAUUUGAUAGUGUUGUGGUGCCCUUCAUUCUUGUAGUUGCUGUAAAUGCUUGUUUUACAGAUUGCCUUUUUCAUGUUUAAAGUGUUAAAGUGUUGCAAAUUGAAGUGUUUUAAGUAAUGCAAAUUGAAUUGUUUAGUUGCUGGAAAUUGAGAUGUUUUAUGGCCGUAAUUGAGUGUAUAAAUGUUGUAAAUUGAAGUGUUUUAUUGCUGGAAAUUGGAUGCAUGGUAUAAUGACAUGAUAGAAUGUCAUUACAAUGUUGUAACUUUUUGAUGUUGUAAAAUCAUAUGGAUUAUGACAUCUAAACUAAUGAAAUCGUGUAACUUUUUAUUAAUAUAUGAAUAUUAUGUUGGGAUGUGAAAUAUAAUUCUCAAGUUAUUUAUUACUUCUAAUAUCUAAUAUUUCAUUGUAGAAUAAUUAAAAUUAUUUGUUUCACUAAUGAUAUUUUAGCACAUUCAAUAUCUAUUGCAGUUUAAAAAUAAUAAUUUAGAUUAUAUAUUAUUUUUAUAGUAUUAUAUAUUAUGAUUUUAGUAAAUUCAUAUAAUAGUAAUUAUAUUAAGAAUUUUAUUAAAUUAUAUUUAAUAAUAAUUAUGUUAAAAUAUGGUUAAAUUAUUUAUUAUCUUUAUUAAAUUAUUUUUAAUAAUAAUCUUUUUAAAAUUUAAUAACAAUAACAAAAAUCAUCUACUUAAAAAAGAUUCUGCUAAGGGUAUUCUAGUCAUUUUAGUUUUUUCCUUAUGCAAUUACAACAUCAUUCCAUUCAACCAAACACAAGAAUACCAUUACAGUUCUAUUCCGUUCCAUUCAACCAAACAAUUGAAUUACUGAUUACAGCUCUAUUCCAUUACAGUGAACCAAAUAUAUCCUUAGUAUGAAUGGCUGUCGAGGCAUGUAGAAAUUUGCACACAAAAGAACAAAAUUGUGCACUACUUAAAACUUCAAAGCAUGUGUGGCCUUAAUUUAAUUUUUCAUCUUUUUUAGCCCUUAAACCUACAUUGUUUAUCAGAUGAAAAAAUUAAUAUCUAUUAACUUUGCUAAUGUGCAAGCAUAUGCAACUUCUUUUAAAUCUAAAAAAUAUAAAAAUAAUUAAAUAUGUAUAAAUCUAAAGAUAUCUUAAACUUAAAACUAAAAUUUUUUAAACUAAUGCAAAUUUUUAUUAUUUAAAAAAUCUUAAAAUUUUCAAAUUAAAUUCCAUUUGUUUUCCACCGUUGAAGAACACCUUUAAUCACAACUUCAUGCUGUAUUGCCUAGAAAUUGUUUUGCAAAUUUAUUUUGUUUUAUUUAUUUCUAAACCCAUAUUUCUUUUCUAUAACUCCAAUUAUUAGAUUGUUUAGGGUUUUGAGUAACUUUCGAUUUUGGAAUUUUAGAUUUUUUAAAUUUAAAUAUGAAGUGCUCUUCUUCUUCUCCAAACCCACAAAUUUUUCUGCCAAAUUUCUACUCAAGGUUUUACUUUCAGCUAUAAAUAAAGCGUAUAUUAUAUUUAUAAUGAUCUAAGAAUAGUAGAGUCGAUGCCGAUCUACAUGAAAAAGGAUGAAAAAAAAAGGCAAAGAAUGAUAAUAUGAAGAGAGCAUAAAUCAAUAAAGCAAAUGAAAAACGAGCAGGAUUAAAGUAAAUGGGUAUUUAAUAUUUUUUUGUGAAAGUUCAAAGACUGAUUAUUUAUAAAAUUGGAUGUGGAAAAAUUAGUUGGAAUUUUUUUUCUUACACCAAUUGAUUUUUUAUAUAAAAUUUUUAUUUAUUUUUAAGUGUUGAAACCACUUUUUGAAAACAAAAAAAAAGUGUUACUUUUAUUUUGAAAACGGAAACGAAAAAAUGGGAGUCGCCACCGAUAUUUUUUUUGAGGUGUGAUCGGAUCACCUUAAAACAAUUUUGGUCUACGAAUAAAAAAAUGGGUCCGGGAGUCAAUUACGUAGGAGGAAGGAUUAGCACCCUCAUAACGCCCAAAAUUGAUACCGAAUUGCAUAAUUAAUGUCUUAAAGUCGAAUGUCGAAAAUUCAAAAAGAUUAAAAAUGAUCCCCUUUAAUUAAUGACAUAUUUUUAAACAAUAUUUGUAUAAAUUUGAUCAUAUGUAGAAAGGUCUUCUCAUCCUGAGUCAACAAAAUGUCGUAUCCCAUAAGUUAGGAUGCGACAUUUAGAUUUCCGAGCAUAAUCUAGCCUUUAAAACCCUUUAUUGAAACUUUAUGUAUUUGAAAACUAAAAAUGUUUGACCAUCUUGGUUCAAUGAGGAAAUCGAAAACCCGUAAGUUAGGACAAAUUUCCUCAAAGUUCCAAAGACGAUAUAUACGUUUGCCUUUAUUUAAAAAAAAAAGAUACUCGGUUACUUAAAUUCAACGAGGAAAAUUGGAGCCUAAUAAGUUAGGGCACAAUCUUCUCGAAAAUAUUGGAUACCGGGUAUUACGUUAUUUUGAAAACUUUGAAUAAAAUGAUUUCAAUACUUUGACUAAACGCAACAUUUUAAAUGAAUAAAAUGCGAUGGAACAAUAACGUAUAACGCGAAGUGAUAAUUCGUAAACUAAAAUAUACGCUAAUGAUCGACAAAGAAUCAAUGAAUACGAGUAAGCAAUACAAUACAUCAUAUAAGAGCAACAAUCUCAUAUCCCACAUUAUGCAAAUACUAACAUCCAUUUUAGCAAGCUAAAUGAAUUAAAAGUUAAUUAAAGAACAGCAAGCAAAUUAAUGUAAAUCUAAUAUAACAAGCUUUAAAAUAAAAUAAAAAUAAAAAUCAUGAAAAAGAGGAAAAUUCAAACACUAAAUUGUAUGUAUAAAAUAUUUGGCACAAAUAAUAUAUAGGAAAACUUGCAAUAAAAAAAUGAAGAAAAUAAAGAAUAAAUAAGAUGCAAAAUAAUACAUGUUCAUCUAAAUAAGUAGUACAUAUAAAAUAAAAUUUUAAUAUAAAUGUUGAAAUAAACAAAGCGUGUAAUUGAACAUCAUUUCCACUAACUAGAUCCUUCUUCGUCAACUGCUGCGAUUGCCUUUCUUUGACUUUCUUUUUCGCCUCUUCUCAUGUUGGUUUUCAACCAAAUUCACCAACCAUUUCGGUUUUCCAGUUUGGAAAACAACAUAUCCCACCAACAUUCCGAACACUACUCCGCAUCCAUAACCUAUCAACACCACUUUCCAACCAAAAGUAAUGUUUGAUUUUGAGCCAUCUUUUUCAAGCACAUCUGGAGGUGUUGGCGCAAUGAUGUUGCAACCUUUCGAGACCGGAAACCCACAUAUGAAUCAUUUCCAAAUGUGUUGAAUUGUUUGCCUUGAGGAAUCUGACCAUGGAGUUGAUUUUCAGAAACAUUUAAGGACAAAAGAAAUGGCAGAUCUACCAAUCUAUUUGGAAUGGUUCCAGACAACCUGUUUGAAGAUAGUGUUGGCACAUAAUUAAAUUAACCUUGCACAAAUAAAUUAUGAAAAGUUAGAAGAGUGAAGAGACUUGAAUAUGAAAAGUGAAAAAACUUGAAUAUGAAUAGUGAAGAGACUUGAAGAUGAAAAGUUAAGAGGCUUGAAUAUGAAAAGAUACACACAUGCAUGAAUAGUCACAACUCCUAGCAUAUAGUGAUAUAGAUGAAUAGUCACUUACAACUCCUAUAUAAAGAGUUGUAUGUGAUGAAGAAUUAUUAACUUUGUGUGCUUGAAAUAAAAGAUUAUUUGAAAGAAUUUUUUCAUACAAAAUUUAUUUCUCUUCUCCAUUAUAUUCUUUAUCAUUUUCUUUGUUUUAUUUCUCCAAAUAUUAAUCAUUCAACUACAAAUUGGUAUCAAAGCCUUGUUCAAUCGAAAUGAACAAUUCUAUUCCUCUUUCUUCCGUUCCCCAAUUAACCAAAGAAAAUUAUGGCAAAUGGAGUAUCCAAAUGAAGGCUCUUCUUGGAUCUCUAGAAGUUUGGGAGAUUGUUGAAAAAGGUUAUAAUGAAGUUGAGGGUGAAGAGGAGGAAGGAUUAACACAAGUUCAAAAAGAGAGUCUAAGAAAAUCAAGGAAGAAAAAUCAGCAAGCCUUAUUUUGGAUAUAUCAAGGAGUUCAAUCAUAUGAAGCGGCUUGGGAAAAAAUAGCUUGUGCCACCACGGCAAAACAAGCAUGGGAAUUUUUACAAAAUUCAUUCAAAGGAGAUGAAAAGGUGAAAAGAGUUCGGUUGCAAACUCUUUGAGGAGAGUUUGAAAGAUUGCAAAAAAUAGAGUCAGAAUCAGUUUCUGAUUACUGUUCACGGGUUUUGUCCAUAGUCAAUCAAUUAAAAAGAAAUGGUGAAACUAUGGAUGAUAUUCGUGGUGUUGAGAAAAUCCUCCGUUCUUUAGAUUCCAAAUUUGACUACAUUGUGGUUGCCAUAGAAGAAUCAAAGGACUUGAGUACCAUGACUAUUGAUGAACUCACAGGUUCGUUGCAAGCCCAUGAAGAAAGAUUAAACAAGAAGAAAAAGGAAGUAGAUCUAGAUCAAGCACUUCAGUCAAAGUUGUCUCUAAAUGAGAAUAAGGGAGAUUUUAAAAAUCAAAGAGGGAGAGAUCGUGGUCGUGGAAGAGGAAGAAAUUUUAGAGGAAGAGGCUCAAAUGCUCGUGAAAGAGGUGAAGAUGUAAGCAUGGAGAAUGGAUGGAAAGAAGCCAACCAAAGUCAAAAUUUUAGAGGAUCACAAAGAGGACGUGGACGUAGAAAUCAAAGAGGAAGAGGUCGUGGCUAUUUUGAAUGUUAUAAUUGUCGCAAACCUGGUCAUUUGGCAAGUGAAUGCUGGUACAAAGAAGAAGAGAAAAAUGAAGCUAAUAUAGUACAAAAUAAUCAAGAGCAAAAGCAAGAAACUUUGUUGCUCGUAUCUCAUGGUGGAGAGAUUGAUGAUGUCUGGUACAUAGACAGUGGUGCUAGCAAGCAUAUGACAGGUAACAAAAAUUUAUUUUCGAAGUUCUUUGAAUCUGAUUGUGGAGAAGUAAAAGUAGGAGAUGGCAAAGCUUACAAAGUUAGCGGUGUUGGUGAGUUGGAGUUCAAAACAAAGCAAGGAAGGGUAGAGAAAAUGUCUGAAGUUUAUUUUGUUCCUGGUCUUAAAAAUAAUCUGCUUAGCGUUGGGCAUCUCUUGAAGAAGGGGUAUGAUAUUCAUUUCCGAGACAUGGCUUGCUAUUUAUCAAAGAAAAAUCAGGUUGUUGCUAGAGUUGGAGUGGCAUCAAAUAAUCUUUUCUCUCUUACCCUUCAAAAUCAGAAUAUGUCUUGUUUUAUUGGUGCUCAUAAAGGAAUUUCAAAGUUAUGGCAUGAUAGAUAUGGACAUUUAAACUAUGGAAAUUUGGAGAUGCUUUCAAGGAAGAUGAUGGUUAGAGGUUUACCAAAAAUCGAUCGGCUUGAUGAUGUUUGUGAAGCAUGUCAACUUGGAAAGCAACAUAAAAUUGCUUUUCCUUCUCAAUCCUCGUGGAAAGCAAGAAGACCAUUGCAACUUAUUCACUCAAAUCUUUGUGGUCCAAUGACAGUUUCAUCUUUAGGAGGUAAUCGUUACUUUAUCUCUUUCAUUGAUGAUUACUCAAGAAAGUUAUGGGUGUAUUGUGUCAAAGAAAAAUCAGAGGCUUUUCAGAGAUUCAAAGAUUUCAAGGCAGAAGUGGAGAACUUUACUGGGUUGAAAAUUAACACCUUGCGUACAGAUCGUGGAGGUGAAUAUUUUUCAAAAGAAUUUGAGAAAUAUUGCCGAGAUAGUGGCAUCCGGCAUGAAAUGACAGUCCGCCAUACACCUCAGCAAAAUGGUGUGUGUGAAAGAAAGAACAGAACAAUUAUGGAAAUGGCUAGAUGUCUUCUUAAUAAGAAGAGGUUAUCAAGAAGAUUUUGGGCUGAAGUUGUUUCCUGUGCAGUUUAUCUUAUAAACAGAUCACCGACAAGAAGCUUGGAGAAUUACACACCACAUGAGGCGUGGUAUGGUAUAAAGCCUAGUGUUAGUCAUCUUAGAGUAUUUGGGAGUGUUGCCUACUCUCUAUUCCAGAUGCAAUGAGAAGCAAGUUGGAUGACAAGUCAGAGAAAUGCAUUUUUAUUGGCUAUAGUGAAAGAAGUAAGGCAUACAAGUUGUAUAAUCCGGUGACAAAGAAGAUUGUGAUAAGCCGAGAUGUUCGGUUUGAUGAAAAUUCCAUGUUUGAAGAUAUGGAAGUUGAAAAGGAAAAUUUGCCAAUUUUUCCUUUUGAACUUGAAGAAGAAGAAGAGGCAGUAAUUGAGAAUGCUGAAGAUGAUGCUCAAGUAGAAAAUCCUCCUGCUUCCCCAUGUUCUUCAUCAAAUUCUUCUUCAUCCAGCCCGAUCCGAAAAACGAGAAGCAUCCAAGAGUUAUAUGAUGUAACGGAUGAAGUUGUGCAAAAUGAUGCUGUAUUCUUUGCCUUCUUUGCAGGAGAAGAUCCAAUUUCUUUUGAUGAUGCAUAUCAAGAAGAAAUAUGGAGGAAAGCCAUGAAAUAAGAGAUUUUCUCAAUUGAAAACAAUGAUACAUGGGAACUCACAGAUUUACCGCCGCACAAGAAUUCAAUUGGAGUCAAAUGGGUGUACAAGACAAAGAUGAAUCCGAAUGGCUCUAUCAACAAGUACAAGGCAAGACUGGUUGCAAAAGGAUACAAGCAAAAGGAAGGAGAAGAUUUUACAGAGGUAUUUGCUCCAGUUUCAAGACUUGAGACAGUUCGGUUACUUAUUUCUCUUGCUGCCCAAAAUAAUUGGAAAAUAUUCCAAAUGGACGUAAAAUCUGCGUUUUUGAAUGGUGUUCUCAAAGAAGAAGUCUAUGUUGAUCAACCACCAGGGUUUGUCAAAAAAGGAGAAGAAGAAAAAGUUUACAAGUUGAAGAAAGCUUUGUACGGGUUGAAGCAAUCACCCAGAGCAUGGUACAGCCGCAUCGAUUCUUAUUUUCAGAAGUGUGGAUUCCAGAAAUCUCCAUAUGAGCAUACUCUCUACAUCAAAGGCAAUUAUCAAGGAAGAUUCAUGGUUGUAAGUCUCUACGUUGAUGAUCUUAUUUUCACAGGAAAUGAUGUGAAGAUGUUGAAAGAAUUUCAGCACUCAAUGAUGGCAGAAUUUAAGAUGACAGAUUUGGGAGAACUUCAUCAUUUUCUUGGCAUUGAAGUUCAUCAAUCCGAGAAAGGAAUUUUUAUUUCACAAGAGAGCUACGCAAAGGAAGUUCUAAAAAAAUUCAUGAUGGAAAAUGCGAAUCCAGUCUCUACUCCAUGCAUUACAGGUCUGAAGUUAUCUAAAGAGGGUGAAGGAAAGCUUGUCAAUUCCACCAUAUUCAGAAGUUUGGUUGGGAAGUUGAUGUAUCUGACUUCGACAAGGCCUGAUAUCGUGUAUGUUGUUAGCUUGGUAAGUAGAUUCAUGGAGAAACCUUACUCCAAUCACUGGGAGGCUGCCAAGAGAAUAUUGAGAUAUGUGAAGGGAACCAUUGAUUAUGGAAUUUUCUAUAAAUCUAAUACAUUAGUUGAUCUCAUUGGUUAUACGGAUAGUGAUUUAGCAGGAAGCAUUGAUGAUAGCAGAAGCACUUCUGGUUAUGUUUUUCACCUUGGUAGUGGUGCAGUUUCAUGGAGUUCAAAGAAACAAUCAAUUGUGGCGCUUUCGACUAUAGAAGCUGAAUAUAUCGCUGCAUCUUAUGCAGGAUGUCAAUUGAUUUGGUUACGUGGAAUUUUGGAAAGUCUUAAGCAGAAGCAAAGCAAGUCAACAAUUUUGUUUUGUGACAAUAGUUCUACUAUUUCGGUCACAAAAGAUCCAAUUCUUCAUAGAAGGACAAAACACAUUCGCAUUCGAUAUCACUUCUUGAGAGAACUAGUGAAUAAUGGUGAUGUUCAAGUUGAAUAUUGCAAGACGGAAGAUCAGAUGGCUGAUAUCUUCACAAAGCCUCUAAGUGGACAAGUCUUCAAGAAAAAUGUUGAAAGGUUGGGAGUUCAAAGCAAGUUUAAUUUAAGGGAGGCAUUGUUGGCACAUAAUUAAAUUAACCUUGCACAAAUAAAUUAUGAAAAGUUAGAAGAGUGAAGAGACUUGAAUAUGAAAAGUGAAAAAACUUGAAUAUGAAUAGUGAAGAGACUUGAAGAUGAAAAGUUAAGAGGCUUGAAUAUGAAAAGAUACACACAUGCAUGAAUAGUCACAACUCCUAGCAUAUAGUGAUAUAGAUGAAUAGUCACUUACAACUCUUAUAUAAAGAGUUAUAUGUGAUGAAGAAUUAUUAACUUUGUGUGCUUGAAAUAAAAGAUUAUUUGAAAGAAUUUUUUCAUACAAAAUUUAUUUCUCUUCUCCAUUAUAUUCUUUAUCAUUUUCUUUGUUUUAUUUCUCCAAAUAUUAAUCAUUCAACUACAGAUAGGUCCAACCAUUCAAGACUUGUCAAAUCCCCUACUGAGGUAGGGAUACCACUAUUAAGGUUAUUAUGAGAAAGGUUGAGCCCUUUCAGUAAGUUAAGCUUCCCAAUAACCUUUGGAAUCUCCCCUUCAAACUGAUUGCUUGAUAGAUCAAUGAUCACCCACAUAGUGAAAAUUUUCACCAAUUCCACGUCUUGUCCUUUCAUAACAAUUCCAAUGGAAUAGGCAUAGAAGUCAUCUCCAUCAUUCACCCCCAUGUACGACACUGUACUACUAACCUUCUCUAGAUUUAUGAUAGCCUUGAAGCUGUUGAUGUAUCUCACUAGUAGGGGUCCAGAAAAAUAAUUACUUGAGAGGUCAAAAAUUUGGAUUUUAGAGAAAAAAGGGCUAGACUUGGAGUUAUUGACACACAGGGAACCAUGCAUUUGAUUUGACUUUAGUACAAGAACUUGUAGCUGUGGAAGACUUCCCAACCAAUGAGGAAAUGUAUCAUUGAUCUUGUUGUUACCAAGAUCUAGUACUUCCAGACCUCUACAAUUAAGGAUGGAUGGUGUCAAAGGCCCUCCUAACAGAUUUCCAUUUAAAUUGAAAUUACUCAAUUGGCAUCCCAUUGCAAAUGUUGGAGGAAUCGUCCCAUAGAACUUGUUCUUCUUCAGAUUCAAGAAUUGAAGGCUGUUGCUCAAAUUUCCAAAACACUGCGGAAUUGUUCCACUCAAGUAAUUGUGGGACAAAUCAAGAAUUUGAAGAUAAGUGGCAUUGCAUAUUAAUGAAGAGACCUCUCCAUUGAAACAAUUAUUUGAGAUCAAAAAGACAGUGAUGGUCGAAGCUGGAAUCGGAAGAUUUCCACUGAUCAAAUUGGAGCUUAAGUCAAGAACAUCAAUAUUCUUCCAUGGAAAGUGCUCAGCUUCUGUCAAAGAGUUGUGAAAUACAUUUAAGUAAGUCAAAGAGCCAUUCCCCACCUCUUGCAUCCACUAUGGAAUCUUGCCUUUAAUUUUGUUGCAAGAGAGGUCUAAGCUUUCCAAACUUUUAAGCCCUUUUAAAAAUUGGGGGAAUUCACUAAGAUUGCAAGAUGACAAAAAUAACCAUUCAAGAUUUCCACUGAUCAAAUUGGAGCUUAAGUCAAGAACAUCAAUAUUAUGACGAUAUAUAAGUUUCCCUUUAUUUUUUAAAAAAAAACCUCGUCUCGAGAUAUCGAAAGGUCAUAUCCAAUGAGUUAGGACACAACGUUUUGAAUUCCCGAGAUAAGCUUUAAUUUGAAAUUUUUAUAUUUUAAUUAAAAAAUGAUACUCAGUUACUUAAAUUCAACGAGGAAAAUUGGAGCCCAGUAAGUUAGGGCACAUUCUUCUCGAAAAUCUUGGAUACCGGGUAUUACGUUAUUUUGAAAACCUUUGAAUAAAACGAUUUCUAUACUUUGAUUAAAUGCAACCUUUUAAACGAAUAAAAUGCGAUGGAACAAUAACAUACAACCCGAAGUGAUAAUUCGUAAACUAAAAUAUAUGCUAAUGAUUGACAAGGAAUCAAUGAAUACGAGUAAGCAAUACAAUACAUCAUAUAAGAGCAACAAUCUCAUAUCCCACAUUAUGCAAAUACUAACGUCCAUAUUAGCAAGCUAAAUGAAUUAAAAGUUAAUUAAAGAACAGCAAGCAAAUUAAUGUAAAUCUAAUAUAACAAGCUUUAAAAUAAAAUAAAAAUAAAAAUCAUGAAAGAGAGGAAAGUGCUAAGGGAUAAGAUUGAAGGCCCGUAAUAUGAUCGCAAGACAAAGAAGCACGCUCUGUUAUGGAAAAAGAGUUCUUGAACUGGAUUAAUGAAGAGCAGGAGUGAGAUCCUGAAGAAGAAAAAGAAGCAUAAAGAUGGGGAAAAAAGAGGAAUAGGGAGAGAAAGAGAUAGGAGGCCAUGUUAUGUUUGUAGAGGAAGAAGGAUAGGAAUGGUAUUUAUAGGCAACAAAUAAUACCACAACAUUGGUGUUACAGUCUUUUUUUUCUUUUACAUUGAAAUGCUACAGAUAUUAGAUUUUCAAAAUAUUUGUAUUUUUCACAAUCAUCAACACUUAGUCGUCAUUUUACCAUAUAUUUUUCAUUCUUUUUUUUUUUAACAAAAUCUUGUAUAUCAUUUGGACUCGCUAAACAACUAAAAAAAUAAAGAUUGAUGAGAUUACAAAGUAGAUUGACUUAGUCUUCUUCCCUAUAACAUGUAAAGAAUGUAUGUGUCUAUUCAAUUGCCUGUCAACCAAAGCUUAUUAAUGUGGAAAUUCUUUUCCACACAAAAGAACAAAAUUGUGCUCUAUUCAGCUACGUUUGAGGAAGGAGACGGCUGGAAAUUUAAUCCACCGAUUCCAUAAAAACGUGUAUAUUUAUUUAUAAAUAUAUAUAUAACCUCAUGAUUCAAAUCUAAAAUCUCAUUUGUUAUAAAUUCUUAUAAAUUUAUUUGGGAAUAGUUAUUUUUCAUUCGUUAAUUAUUUCUCUUUUAGCCGUGAAACUUAUAUGGUUCGUUAAAUCGCCCCAAAAAAUGAUAAAAAAGAUUAACAAAACUAGCCCCUACGUGGCUGAUGUUGACCCUUAGUAGUUAAUGGCAACUCCUAUGUAAUUGUUAACAGAUACCACAGCAACAAUGUUUGUUGACGUGACAAUGCCACAUGACCAAUAAUCGUUGUCAUGGUAGUGCCACGCCGUCACCCAUUGAUGACAUAUUAACCUUCGAGUUAAACUCAAAUUGCUCUUUCCUUUGUUAUAAAUUAAGAGUAUAACUAAUUUUGAUAAGAAUAGUUACUUUUCAUUAACUCAGUUUAAAGGACUAUAACACGUAAAGUUUGGUCUAUUGCAGAAUUCACAUGCAAUGCGGGAUAUUUACAUUUUGAAGAAUUCAACACAUAUAUGGGAAUUUUUGUAUUUCCACAAUCAUAAUUUUGUUAGUGAUCAACAACUACUUCCUCCUUACCAUAUAUUUUUCAUUCAUAAAAUUGAUUACUUUUUUUAUCAAAGAAGUAAAAUAAUUAACAUUCUUAAGAUUACAAAGUCUUCUUCCUUAUAACACGUAAAGUUUAGUUCCAAAUAAUUUUCCACAAAAAAAAGACCAUCAAUUGUCGAUUGACUAUACUUUAACUCCAAAAAAAAGACUAAGACUAUCAAUUGUCUAUUGACUACACUUUAACUCGACAAAAAAGGACUAAGACUAAGACUUUCAAUUGUCUAUUGACUUCACACUUGCGGUUGCUUCCUCCUAUCUCUCUCACCCAAACUUAAUUUAGAAGCAAUGGGGAAAUUUUGGACAUUUGGGCCACAAUGAACAAUACUUCCACACCAUUUGCAGUAUUGACUACGUUUACUUGAGGGAAAACAAAGACAUGAAUGCUGGAAAUUUUAACUAGUUUGUACCGUCAAUGAAGCUACGUACCUAAAAGCCUUUUAGGAUAUCAAUUCCUGUAAUUGGAUUAAUCUCAUCGUUGCUGCAAUCUUUUGACAGUGUAAUCGAAUCUUAAAUAUGUUACUCUGCAAUGCUGUUGUAAAAAUUACUCUUAAAAUUGUCGAUAGAUAUAUAGGUUUGGCACAAAAUUAAGAAUACACAAAGGCAGGUUGAAUUAUUCCAUGUUUGAACAUAAAUUCAUAUGGCAAAAGGGCCCAAACCAUACCUUAUGUUCAUGAAUUCUCAUCAUCACAUGUUUAUAAAUGCAUCUCAAAACUUGAAUAAUUGAAUCUUUUGUAAUUCUACAUGUAUUUUUUUUUAUGGUGAGCAGUAUAAUGUUUACUAAAAAUUGAAAUUCAAGAAAGAAGACAUACAUAGUUGCACCAUACAAGUUGUUACACUCGAACUAAACCCUUACAAAUAGUACGAGAUGCAAUGAAAUACAGAGGAAUUGGUACAAUCAUAAAGACAGACACAUACCAAUGCAACUUUUCACCAUAGGAAAAACUUUCUGACAGACUACUAAACAAGAAAUUAUGAAGACACAGCAGAAAUGCUUUGACUUCUUUUGCACCAACUAGAUCCUUCUUCAUCCAUUGAUGCGAUUGCUAUAUUUUGGCUUUCUUCUUCGCCUCUUCUCAUGUUGGUUUUCAACCAAAUUCACAAACCUUUUCACCUUACCGGUUUGGAAAACAACAUAUCCCAUGGCCAUUCCAAACACUACCCCGCAUCCACAACCUAUCAACACCACUAUCCAACCAAAAGCAAUGUUUGCUUUUGAGCCAUCCUUUUCCAGCACAUUUGGAGGUGGUGUCUCAUUGAUGCUGCAACCUUUGGAGACUGGGAAUCCACAUAGUCUCUGUUUCCUUCAUAUGAAUUGUUUCGAAAUGUAUUGACAAUCUGACCAUGGAGUUGAUUUUCAGAAACGUUUAAGAAGAAAAGAAAUGCCGGAUCUGCCAAUAUCUCUGGAAUUAACUCAGUUCAAAUGACCAUAUAACUCGUAAAGUUUGGUCGAAGACUGGCAGCGUCUAUUGACUUCAACUCUUGCUAUUACCUCAAGAAGAAAGACUGCUACAAUUCUAUCUUCUUUAAACCAGCUAUUUAAAAGCAAUAAGGACAUUAAAUCCACCAAUUUAUCUUUGAAGUCAUUCGUCAUGCAGCUCUGCUAUGUACGAUUAUUGGCAAAAAUCUUGAAAGGAGACAACCUCAAAUUUGAAGACAAGAAAUGAGCAAGAACAUGCACCAACGAAGAAUCGAUUAUUGUUUUGUAUUUGGUAAAUACAAUUUGAGUUAAAUAAUCAAGAAUGAUAGUGAAUAAAUAAGGAAAAACAAUGUAGAUUCAGAACCACAAUAAAUCAUAUUAAGCUCAUGAGUUUAUAAUAUAUAUCUCUGCAGCUUGAUUGCCUUGUUAGCUAUAAACAUAACCUGUUAAUUCCAUCAUUAAUACCAUUAGAUAUAUUUUGAUGGGGGAGAUUUUUUAGUAGGAAAACAGUUGAAGUCAUUCAAGAAGACAUAAACAGCUGCAACUACGUAAGAGUUUAACUUUGAGAAUAGAUCCUUACACGUUAUUGAAAUGCCAUACUAAAGAUAAAGACAUAUAGCUAAACGUUAGACACACCAUAAAAAUAUAUAUAGGUAAAGUGAUAGGGUGUGAGUAAGGAGGCCAUGCUAUGUUUUCAAAUAAGAUUAUCAUGGUAUGAAUUAUGAGAACCCUAUUUAUAGGAAGAACAAAACCGAUAUGAAACUAAGAAUAUAGUCCAUUGAUAAUGAAGAAUCUAAGAAAUUUAAUGGAAAUUGUGGAUAAGCAUCGUGUUUUUAUCUCUGAUGGAGAAAAGCUAAGAGUGUGAGGAAGACCAACUGUCAAUGUCACCCAAACCGAAUCUACAAGUCACCACAAUGUACAGUAAUUCAAAGCAGGAAAAGUUCAUAGUUUCAGAGUAAAUAACACUUCAAUGAUUGUAUUAUAGAAAACAUGUGUAUCCUAUAUAUGUUGAACAAUAUUAUCUAACAAACAUAUUUUCCAAAAGACUAGAAAAUUUGUGAUUAAAUGCUAAAGUUACAUAUUUUAUGUAAUUAAAUUGGUUAAUUUAUGAGAGUGCACCACUAAUUUUUCCAUGUUUUUGUUGAAUUUUGUGCAGGGGUGCAAUUUGGGGCUAAAUAGAAGAAAAAGGAAACAAUUGGGCUAGAUUGAAGAGAGAAGCAAAGAAGGAGGGCCAAAACAGAAUUUUUCCAGAUUAAUUAGCUGAAAUUUUUGUUGACUUAGUGGGAGAUUAUUUUGGGAUUUUUUUUUAUAUCAUGGAAUAUUUUUCCUUAAUUUUCUAUACUAGUUGGCUUUUAAUUUAGCAAGGCCACUAGUAUAAAUAGAGGCUACAUUGUUCAUUUUAAUCAUCAAGUCUUGAAUCAAUUCAUAAAUCAAGCUUUCAUCUUUCAAUACAUUCUCUCUUUUCUACUCACAAAUUUAUUUGUUGUUUUUAGUUUCAUUUACUUUCAAUCCAUUAAUUUCCAGCUUGUUACCACUUAAACCAUUUUCAAUUUCUUUUUCAAACUUUCUUUCCAUCUCCAGUAGCUAAUUCACUUUAUUACACCCCCAAAAUUCCAGCCCCCCAAACUAAAUCACGCCACCCAUUCCUUUCACCCAUUUUACCUUAUUUAAUUUAUCCAAUACCAACAUGCCCCAAACCUUAGCCAACUAAAUUCAUUUCCAGCUUUAGGUCGGAAUUAGCCUCGUCAAAACCCGUGAGUUACGAACCCGAGCAAAUUAACUCCUAAAUUUUAGUACUUAUUAUUUCUCCGGAUUAAGAGUAUGAUUUUGUCAACUCACAAAGUCAGAUCAACAUUAAGUUAAAAAAGACGUCGUUUGAUUUAGUGUGGUUAGACGUACAGUUGGAAUUCCAAAAAGAUCGAUUCUAAUCGGUUUUCUGUGAACACAUUGGCGUGCCAAUUGGAGAUUGCUGUUUGGUUCCGUCAAGGGAAGUAGUAACCCGAUUUAAAUGUCCCACGCGGUUGAGGGCAUUGGUUCGAGCUAGGGUUUUCUAGAACGCAAAGCUGCCGGAGUUCUAAAUCACGAACAUUUCGUGGUUGUUCGAUCAGUAAGGGUUAGUUAUUGGACGUUCCAUAACUAAUUUACACAAGGAAGAGUUAGUGUCUGAGGCGUCCUUGGUAGCUAUAACUAGCUUAUUGGAAAAGAGGAGUUCAUCUAAUUUUGAGAAUCGGUUCAAAGACGAGGAAAAUUCGUGCCUAAAGCUGAGCUUAUUCUAAUUAAAUUUUCUUCAUAUUUAUUUAACUAUUUUAAUUAUUCUGUUUUCAACUUUAUCUUUUCACGCAUUUUAUUUAUUUAUUUCAGGUCUUCAAAUUUUAUCCCCCCGAACUUCUUGGGCACGACAACUGCCCCAACAUAAAUCUGGUCAAAAUAGAAACAAUUUGCAGUAAACCCAGUCUCUGAGGGAUCGACCCUACUCCCUAUACUGUUUAAAUCGCAAAUUAGGCGUAGGUUUAUAUUGGUGGAUUCGACACCCAUCAAUUUGUAUGUCAUUUUCUAUUACUUGCAAGAAAACUACAGGGGAAAUUGCAUUUCUAAUUCAUCCAUAGGCUUUAAAUUCAAACAAGAAAAAGGAAAAAGAAUAUAUAUAUAUCAACAGGAAACUUCAAGGAGAGAAAUUUUGUUACAUCAAUUUUCCAGUCAUAUUUAAUCUUUACCCAAAGUUGAUUCUAGAUUAAAUUUGGAAAAAAUUAAAAAAGAGGACAUGUAUUUUUUUUUAUUUUUGAAAAGUAAAGGAUUAUAUCUCAGCCAAAUAAAAAAGUCACAAUGCAAAGCCAAGAGCCAAAGCCAAGCCAAGCACACACUCAACUAGCAGACAUAACUCAUACAGGACCUAGAUGUAUUAUUGAACUCUUAUAUAAAAGACAACUGAAGAUGCAAAGCUUAAUUGUUAAGCUUUUCUGAUGCUUGAUAAGCAUAGUUUUAGUUCAGUUCCGAAAUCUAAACUGCUUUGCUAUGGGAUUAUUUUUAUAAGUACAUUGAGAUCAAUGCAUGCUAUUGCGAUUUAUUAUCUUUGAUGCCAAGGAAAUGACAGAAUUCAAAGACCAAAAGGUUCGAUUACAUACUAGAUCAUGGAUGUAAGCCAAUCUACAACCUCUCUCCUCGACCUCCAUGUGAAACCAGCAUGAUUUGAAUUCUCAGCCGCAUAUACCCUCACAAACUCCUCAGCAACAACAUAAAACAUAUACCUAACACUCCUUUGAGAACCGAUAACUGCACAGACAGAUUCACUAAUGGAAGCCUUCAAGAAAUAUUGAACCACACAAUUACCACACUUCUGUGAAAUAAACUUGUUGGUGCAAAGAGACAACAAUAGACUGUUUUCAAUCUUGCUUGUAUAGCAAGCCUCGAGCCUUGCUGAAGAAACAAACUCAAAAGCAAGAACAGAAACACAUGCGAAUGAAAAACAAAAGAAAUUGAGAGAGAGAGUAUUUUGAAUGAAAAGAGCUGAUAUUUCAUUAACAAAUCCAGAAGGCAUAAUGCCAUUACAUAUAAUAGAUAACAACAACAAAAUGAACAAGUCUUUACCUAAUGACAUACCUAACACCACUAAAUUUACAUUGGAAAUUGUUAAUCAGCUUGCUUAAGUUUCUUUGCUGAUUUUUUCAGUCAAUCAAUCAACAAAAAACAUCAUAAGGUUUACCAACUUAGUUCAACAUGAACUAGAUUACAAAAUAAUAAUUAAAAAUACAAUCAAAACAUAACAAGUAGUUAGGCAACUUUAAGCUCCAGUUUCUGCACUUCAUAGCUCGACUGCUUGCUGCCACUUCUCCUUGCAUGGCCACCUUUGCAUGUCUUGCAUGGGAACUAAAUUCAACACUCCUCCUUAGUUUCCAUGCUAGUGACACCUAAUUGCCUUCUUAAUUUAACAAAUUUAGACACAUUGAGUGCCUUUGUAAAGAUAUCAGCAAUUUGCUCUUCUGAAUUGCAAUGAACCAGCUCGAUUUCAUGAGCUUGCUCCAUCUCCCUUAUGACAUGUAGCUUGAUGUUGAAGUACUUUGCUCUACCAUGAAAGAUAGGAUUCUUUGCAAUUGCAACAGCAGAUUUGUUGUCACAGUAAAUCUCUGUUGCCUUUCCUUGAUUUUGAUUUAAAUCAGCUAGGAUUUUUCUAAGCCAUAUGGCUUGAUUUACAGCAGAUGCAGCAGCAACAUAUUCAGCUUCUGCUGUUGACUGUGCUACCAGACUUUGCUUUUUAGAACUCCAGCAAAACAUGCCUGAGCCAAGACUAAAGGCAUAUCCAGAUGUGCUUCUCAUGUCAUCACAAGAUCCAGCCCAGUCACUAUCAACAUAGCCUAUUAGCUUCAUGUUUAUAGCCCUUUUGAACAAUACACCAUGAUCAAUGGUGCCUUUGAUGUAUCUAAGCACUCUUUUAGCUGCUUGAAAGUGCUGAUCAUUGCAGCAAUUCAUGUAUCUGGAUAGCACACUAACAGCAAACAUGAUAUCGGGUCUUGUUGCAGUCAAAUACAACAGACUACCAAUGAGACUUUUGUACAUAGUCUCGCAAAUUGGUUCACCACUCCCUUGCCUCGAAAGCUUCACUCCAACAGCCAUUGGUGUGCUUGUUGGCUUGCAGUUCUUCAUAGAGAACUUAUCCAGGAUCUUCAUAGUAAAAGAACUCUGACUAAGAAAGAUUCCCUUUGCUGUUUGCUUCACUUCCAUUCCAAGGAAGUAGUUCAUUCUGCCUAAAUCAGACAUUUCAAACAUUUCCAUCAUUUUUCUUUUGAAAUCUUCCAGCAUUCUUCUAUCUCCUCCAGUCACCAAUAAAUCAUCAACAUAGAGUGACAGGAUAAGCUGAGUUUCAGCUUGGUUCUUCUUCACAUACAGUGUUGGUUCACUGAGACUUCUCUCGAAUUCCAAACUGAGCAAGUAAGAAUCAAUUCGAGCAUACCAGGCUCAAGGAGCCUGUUUUAGGCCAUACAAAGCCUUUUUCAGUCUGUACACCUUGUGUUCUUUGCCAGUGACCACAAAUCCUUGAGGCUGUUCGAUGUAGAUCUCUUCUUCCAGGAAACCAUUGAGAAAUGCAGACUUAACAUCAAGCUGAUGAAUGGUCCACUGAUGUUGAGCAGCCAAGGCAACUAUCAUUCUAACUGUGUCAAGCCUGGCUACUGGUGCAAAUGUCUCCAGAUAGUCCAGACCAUACCUUUGGCUAAAACCUUUGACAACAAGCCUGGCUUUUAGCUUGUUCAGACUGUCAUCUGCAUUCUGUUUUGCUCGAUAGACCCAUUUUACUCCAAUGGUCUUCUUUCCAGUAGGUUUAUCAACUAGCUCCCAUGUCUGGUUCUUCUCAAUCAUGUUGAUUUCAUCGACCAUAGCUAGUUUCCAGCCUUCAUCUGCCUCAGCCUCUUCAAAACUGCUAGGUUCUGCUAUUGCAACCUGUGCCCUUUCAUAAAUAUCAUCUAGGGGCCUUGUGCCUCUCACAAGCACAUCAUCAACAUCCAUUUCAGGUCCUAGCUGCUCAAGUUCAGCUUGAUUAGGCACCAGGUCUUCUGAAGCAGCUUCUGGUUCAUUCUUUUCCCAAUUCCAACAAGCCUUCUCAUCGAAGAUGACAUCUCUGCUCACUUGAACUAUGUUUGUCAAAGGAUCCAGCACCCUGUAGCCCUUCUUAACUGAGCUAUAGCCUACUAGAACACCUGGUUGAGCCCUUUCAGAGAGCUUGUCUCUCUUAACUGCUGGUAUUUGUGCAUAACACAGGCAACCAAACACCUUCAGAUGUACCAAGGAAGGCUUGAAACCGGACCAAGCCUCGAAAGGUGUUUUGGAUGCAAGAGCUUUGGUAGGAAGCCUAUUUUGAAGGUAGACAGCAGUGUUUACUGCCUCAGCCCACAUGGUCUUGGGCAGUUUCUUCUCAAACAGCAGGCACCUGGCCAUAUCCAUCAAGCUUCUGUUCUUUCUUUCUGAUACCCCAUUCUGCUGAGGUGUGUAGACAUUUGUAAGCUGGUGUUUGAUACCAGCAUCAUUGCAAAUGGCUUGAAACUGAGCUGAAGUGUACUCAGUGCCAUUGUCUGACCUUAUCGAUUUCAGCUUGCAACCUGUUUCUGUCUCUACAGCAAUUUUAAACUUCACAAACACUUGAGCUACCUCAAACUUGUGUUUUAAGAAGAAAAUCCAGCAAAACCUUGUAAAAUCAUCAAUGAAGAGGAUGAAAUACCUAUUUUUCUUGAGUGAUUCAGUCCUCAUCGGGCCACAUACAUCAGAGUGCACCAGCUGUAGUUUUUUAGUAGCUCUCUAAGCUGAAUUUGUAGGAAAUGGCAGUCUUGCCUGUUUCCCCAUCUGGCAAACUUCACACACAUCAUCAUGCUCCACUGAGCUAGUAAAGUUCUCUGCCAAGCCUUCUUUGGCCAUUCGAGCCAAUGAUCUGAAGUUGGCAUGCCCAAGCCUUUGAUGCCAAAGCUUGGAAUCAUCAACAGAGGCUGUAUAUGCAGACUUUGAGUCAUUUGGCCAGUGUACCUCAAAGCAUUUGUUAGUCAUUGUGACUGUCAUAAGGCUUGAUCCACUUGGAUCAGCAAUGUGGCACUGUUUGUUCUUGAACACAACAGAAUAGCCUUUCUUGAGCAAUUGAGCUAUGCUGAGAAGGUUUCUGUCGAUUUCUGGCACUAACAGCACAUUUGGAAUGAUCUUGUUGCCUGUGGGGGUACAUAUCAGCACCUCUCCUCUUCCUUCAGCCCUUAUGAACUGACCAUUUCCAACCUUGACCUUGGUUUUACAACUUCUAUCCAAGGUUUUAAAUAAGGAGGCAUCUGGUGACAUGUGGUUAGUGCAACCACUGUCCAAUAACCAGCCUUUUGAGCAUUUCUUCUCAGCAGCUAAGAAAGAAACAGCAAAGACCUGCUCUUCUUGAUCACUACUGUCCUCAGCUACUCGAGCUUCAACCUUUGGUUGUUGAAAUUGACUCUGCCUUGACUUGGUUUUAUUUUUGCAAACCCUUUCAACAUGGCCUUUCUUCUUGCAGUGUUGGCAUACUGCAUCUGGCCUGAACCAGCAUCUGUCUUCUGGAUGACCUGGCCUCUUGCAAUGUCUGCAGGGCUGGUCAUUGCUCCUUGCAGUAUCAGGCUUAGGCCUGCUUUUCCAAGGCUUUUUACCUCUUGGAGCAUUGAUGCUCGAGGCUUCUCUGGCCUUGGCAUUGAAUGCACCUUCCUGGUGGUCUUCAGCUCUGCUAGCUCUCCUUUGUUCCUGAGCAUAGAAAGUGUUGAUUAGCUCAGUCAAAGAGAUGGUAGCAAGGUCUCUUGAGUCCUCAAGAGAGGAUAUCUUGGCCUCAUAUCUCUCAGGCAAAGUGGAGAGAACUUUCUCUACUAUCCUUGCCUCAUCAAAGUGCUCACCAAGGAGCCUUAUACUGUUAACCACUGCCAUGAUUCUAUCUGCAUACUGCUUCACUGUUUCUUCUUCCUUCAUCUUCAGGUUCUCAAAAUCCCUUCUCAAAUUCAAUAGCUGUUGUUGCCUUGUUCUCUCAGUGCCUUGAAACUCCUCCUUAAGCUUAUCCCAUGCCUGUUUUGGAGUCUCACAGGCCAUAAUUCUGGUGAAGAUGACAUUUGACACACAAUUCUGAAUGCAGGACAUGGCUUUGUGCCUUUUGGUCCUCUCAUCAGCAUGUUGCCUAAUCUGAGCUACUGUGGGAUUGGCCCUCAGUGGUGCUGGCUCAGCAUCUGUGUUGACAACUUCCCACAGAUCAAAGGCCUGUAGGUAAGUCUUCAUCUUGACCAGCCAUAUGUGAAAGCCUUCUCCAUUGAAGACUAGUGGGGCUGCUGGUGAAAAACUUGAGGAAGACAUUCAGCUUUCUUAGUUUGAUAAAACAGGUCCACUAAGAAUGAAGCUCUAGAUACCAAUUGUUGGUGCAAAUAGACAACAACAGACUGUUUUCAAUCUUGCUUGUAUAGCAAGCCUCGAGCCUUGCUGAAGAAACAAACUCAGAAGCAAGAACAGAAACACAUGCGAAUGAAAAACAAAAGAAAUUGAGAGAGAGAGUAUUUUGAAUGAAAAGAGCUGAUAUUUCAUUAACAAAUCCAGAAGGCAUAAUGCCAUUACAUAUAAUAGAUAACAACAACAAAAUGAACAAGUCUUUACCUAAUGACAUACCUAACACCACUAAAUUUACAUUGGAAAUUGUUAAUCAGCUUGCUUAAGUUUCUUUGCUGAUUUUUUCAGUCAAUCAAUCAACAAAAAACAUCAUAAGGUUUACCAACUUAGUUCAACAUGAACUAGAUUACAAAAUAAUAAUUAAAAAUACAAUCAAAACAUAACAAGUAGUUAGGCAACUUUAAGCUCCAGUUUCUGCACUUCAUAGCUCGACUGCUUGCUGCCACUUCUCCUUGCAUGGCCACCUUUGCAUGUCUUGCAUGGGAACUAAAUUCAACAAAACUCCUUCUGCCACUCGAAACAAUGACCAUUCCAAACAUUUUGAUAGACAAUACACAAUUUGCUUCACUACUUACUCACAUAGCCAAAAAAUAUCCAAUGAAACUGGCAAAGGGUUCUUCCAAAAUGGUACAUUAGCUGCCAAAAAGACAACCACCAUAUAUUCCUUCAUUCAGUAAACAGCUUCAAUAUGGAAAUAAGUUAUUAUCUUAAAAAUGCUUUUUCUACCACAGAAGAAUAAGAACUAGGCAUCUCAGAAAAUUUGCUAAAUUAAUGACUUUGCUCCCUUCAAAAUAAACAAAUGAUUAACUGCAUUAUCCCAAAGAGGUCACCAUCAACCUCCAGUUGAACUUUCAAGGAAUAAUAAUAAAAAAUAGAAGGAAAUAAGGGGGAAAAAACCCAACCAGAACUCAGUAAUAGCUGAGCCUUGAAGAUCUGUAGGUAGUAAGAGAAAAACCCCAUGACGACUAAAGUCCAGGCUUGAAAGAACCAAAAGGGAGCAACAUAUGACUAUGAUUCACUGGACCAAGAGAAUCACCAAUGAAUAAAGGAAAAAGGGUACUUUCCUUUAUACCUAAACAUACAAUAUUUAGCCUCAAAAUGGGAAAAUUUCAGGUUUUCACAAAGGGUUUAAGAAAGAGGGUGAAAGUUAAAGAACUUGUCUUUGUUUUGAUGUGUGGUACACGAGAUAGUGAAGGAAAAUAGAGGUGAGGAAAUAAGAUGGAGUAAGUGCCUAAGUGGUGAAAAAGGAGAGCCUAAAAGAGACAUUUUUGAAGGGUAGUUUAGAAGCUGCAGAGGCUUUGGCAUACAGCAGCUGAUAAUGAGAGAAGACAAACCAGAAAUGUAAGUACGACGACGAUAAAAAUUAAAAAAUUUUAAGAAUUAAUGAAAUAAAAUUUUGUAGCUUAGCGAAUUGGGACGAAGUCCACCAGUGUGAUGCCCAUAGAUCCAUACCUGGGAUUUUUCUAUUUGGGCUAACUUUCUAACUUCUCCCACCAGUCUUAAAACUUUGCAGAUUUUUUCAAUUUGAUCUGGAUUGUAUGAUAACAUAUCACUUUGAGAUUGGAAAAAAAAUUAUUUUUUUUAAAUUAGAGAAAAAAUAAAGAAACUAAAUUUCAAGCAUGCAAAGUACAAAAGAAAGAACUGUAUUAAUAAAAGAUGAGUUACUUCACUCAGAUUGGAGUACCCUUUAAACAAGUUUAUUCUUGUAGAGAAAGAAACUGGAUUUUGAUUUCAUUUGCUGUGGCAAAAUUUUUAAUUUCAACAACAGUAUAACAUAUUGAAAGCCUGCCUACAUCUCGGCAGAAAAAUUUACAAAUUCUUUCAUCAGACAAUUUAAAUGAUGCAAUGCAAAGAUUCAUCAAUGUAUGAUCUUUUUAUCAUAAAUGGCUGUUUUACUGGAAAACUUGAUAUGUACUGUCUUUCACAUUCUUUUGUGCUGAAUGGUCUCUGAAAACUGCAAUCAUCAACUAUAGAUAACCCAUUCCUCAGCGCCGCCAGAGCCGACCUUGUUGUUUCUGUUCUUGAACUUGCCUGUGUCAUCAAAGGCAGUGAGCAUUUAUCAAUGUUAUAAAAAUGGCAUAUCGAAGUCAGAUUUUACUUGACAAUACACAAAUGUAAGAAGAUAAUUCACCUUUGAUACUCUUUAGAACGCUCGAGAAACUCUUUCGCGAUGUCUUUUCUUUAAUAUGAUUGCAAUACUUGUCUGAUAUCAGCCGGACCAUUGUGUUAGUACAAAACUCCGGUAAGGAAAAAAACUCGAACACACGAUCGGAACUCGAAAAGAAAAAGAAGAAAUAGGACAGGCUCCAAGGCGUGUAUCAAGCCACUAUCUUUAAGGUUAUAUUCGCCCCCACUUAUCUUCAGUGUGCAAACGAGUUCCAAGCAAAUUAACCUCGAGGAUACAAUGAAGCCAAUGACUAUUUGCGUUUUGCACUGACGAGAAUAGUCCACUAUACACUAAGUAAUGUAUAACAAAAACUCAAUUUCUACAAAGGAUUUCUGCAGCAAUACUUUAUAGAAUAAUCUAAUAAUAUUAGAAAAUGAAGGAAGAGAAGAAAUAAUAUUAGAAUUUGUUGAUAUGAUUUCCAAAUGAAAUCCCAUUCCUAUUUAUAGGAAUUUUCAUGUCUCUUCAUAGAGACAUCUUUCAAUAGGUGUCUUUAUGAAUAAAUAAAUAAUAAUAAUUAUUCAUUUAAUUUUGUAACUAUUCAAAUAAUAUUUUUUGAAUAGUUAUAAUUCUUUUUUAAAAAAUCAAAUGAUAUAACUUUUGACCAAUGACCAAAAGUUUUAUCUUUUGAUUAAUUACACCCAUUCAUUUAUAGUUAUUGGGAUACUAUAAAUAUUUGAAAAUAUUCCAACAAUCUCCCCCCAUUUUCAAAAUAUUUAGAUUUUGAUAUUCUUGGAAAUCAAUUUGCAUAAAUAAAGGUGUCUUACGAUUGAACCUUCACUUAGUGAAAACAUGUUAAAGUUAAUCGAAAUUGUAUGGUAGACUAAGCUUUGAACCAACUAUUCCAUUUGAUUAAUUGAACACAUCUCACACAAUGAUUUCAACAUCAGUCAAUGCAUAGUAUCUAGGGACACUAUUAUAGCCAUGUGUCUAUGUCCUCUUUUCAUGAGUGCUGUCAGAGCCAAGCCCUUAAGCUCCUAGAAGCGGCCACACUUCCACUCACAUAGGUAGAUCCCAUCAAAAGUGUUCCCGUAAUUAUAACACUCUAACAUAUUUAUGUUAUGGGUCCAUUAAGAGUAAAUUACUCAUCCUUCCCUUAUCAUUACGGGUACCUAGCACUUUAAUCUUAGGAUGGAUUUAUUUAUAGUGCUAACAGUCACAUACUAAUGAUGUACUUUGUCUCAUUGAACUCAAGACUUGACGUUAUACCAAGCAUUGAGUCGAGUUUCCAUCAUGGGUGACUCUAAUUAAUAGGCUUGAGUCCCAUCCCUUUUGAGGUCCUUUUUACUGCAUCUCUAGCAAGACUUUUUGUCAAAGGAUCUGCCAAAUUUUCACUUGACCUCACAUAAUUAAUAGUGAUCACUCCAUCAGAGAUUAAUUGUCGGACAUAACUAUGUCUUAAUCCAAUGUGUCUAGACUUUCCAUUAUAUACUUGGCUAUAUGCCUUUGCUAGAGUAGCCUCACUAUCACAACGGAUAGAAAUAGGUGAAAUUGGCUUAAGCCAUAAACGUACAUCAUAAAGCAAAUUUCUUAACCAUUCUGCUUCUUUAGAUGCAGCGGCUAAUGCAAUAAAUUCUGCUGCCAUGGUGGAAUCAGUAAUACAUGUUUGUUUCUUGGAACCCUAAGAAAUGACUCCUCCACCAAGAAUGAAGAUCCACCCACUAGUAGAUGCAUGAUCUUCCAAACUUGUAAUCCAACUAGCAUCCGAAUACCCUUCUAAAACUGGAGGAUAUCCAUUAUAACACAAUCCAUAGUUAAUAGUUUUCUUUAAGUACCUAAGUACUCUAUUUAAAGCUUGCCAAUGCAAACUACUUGGAUUAUUUGUGUAUCUACUCAAUUUUCCAAUAGCAUAUGCAAUAUCUGGUCUUGUACAAGUCAUUAUGUACAUAAGAAAACCAAUUGACUUGCAUAUUUCAAUUGAUCAAUUUUCCUACCAGCAUUAGAUACUAAUUUUAAUUGAGGAUCCAUGGGUGUAGAUACUGGUAUACAGUUGAAAAUAUCAAACUUUUUAAGCACAUUUUCAAUGUAAUGUGAUUGUGAUAAAGCUAUAGUGCUUUCAUCUCGGGUUAUUUUAAUCCCAAGAAUAACAUCUUCUACACCCAUAUCCUUCAUAGCAAAGUUGUUUGACAAGAAUUUCUUUGUGUUUUCUAUUUGUUCCAAAUCCGUGCCAAAAAUGAGCAUGUCAUCUACAUAUAAGCAAAUUAUAACACCCUUUCCAUUAUCAAAUUUACUAUAUAUGCACUUAUCGGAUUCAUUUAUUUAUAGCCAUUAGCUAAAACAACCUUGUCAAACUUUUGGUGCCAUUGUUUUGGUGCUUGUUUAAGCCCAUAUAAAGAUUUAACAAGCUUACAUACCUUAUGCUCUUGUCCUGGAACAACAAAUCCUUCCGGUUGCUCCAUGUACACUUCCUCUUCCAAUUCACCAUUUAAAAAUGCAGUUUUAACAUCCAUUUGGUGAACAACCAAAUUAUAUAUAGAGGUAAGUGAUAUUAAUAGUCUAAUUGUAGCAAUUCUUGCUACUGGAGCAUAGGUAUCAAAGUAAUCAAUACCUUGUCUUUGUGUAAAACCUUUUGCUACCAACCUUGCUUUAAAUUUAUCAAUGGUUCCAUCGACCUUCAUUUUCUUUUUGAAGAUCCAUUUACAACCUAUUGGUUUGGAACCUGGUGGAAGAUCAACUAAGAUCCAAGUUUGAUUUCCCAUUAUUGAAUCCAUUUCAUCAUUUAUUGCUUCUUUCCAAAAAGUAGAGUCUUGAGAUUUCACUGCUUCUUCAAAUGUAACAGGAUCAGAUUCGGUAUUAUAACAAUAAGGUAUCUUAUUGCAUAUACUUUCACCUUUUCCUUCUAUAAGAAACAUAAUGAAAUCUGGUCAAAAAUCUUUGACCUUUUUAAUCCUCUUACUUCUUCUUAAUUCUUGACAAGAUUCAUCAUUAUUAUCAAUUUGUUUCAAUGGAAUCUCAUUCUCAUUUGAAGAAUGAAUCAAUUGUUGUGGUUGUAAUUGUCUUGAUAUAGAAUUAAAUCUAUUUUCAUCAAAAAUAGCAUCUCUUGAUUCAAUAACCGUAUUAAUUGAAAUUGAAUCAUUUGGUUCAAUUACUAUGAACCUAUAUGCCUUGCUAUUAUGUGCAUAACCUAUAAAUAUGCAUUCAAUUCCUCUUUCACCUAACUUUUUACGUUUAGGUGUUGGAACUUUUACAAUAGCUCUACAACCCCAAACCUUUAAAUAAUUAAGGUUUGGUUUCCUUUUCUUCCAUUGUUCAUAGAGGGUUAUUUUAGUUUCCUUAUUAGGAACUCUAUUCAAUAUAUGACAAGCUGUUAGAACAGCUUCUCCCCAAAAACCCUGUCCAAGACCUGAAUAUGAUAACAUUGAAUUUACCAUUUCAAUCAAGACUCUAUUUUUCCUUUCAGCUACACCAUUUUGUUGUGGUGUGUAAGGGGCUGAAACUUGAUGGACAAUUCCAGUGAGUUCAAAAUAACUUGGAUUAUAGUAUUCUCCACCUCUAUCCGAUCUUAAGCACUUGAUAAAUGAUUCACACUGAAGUUCAACUUCAGAUUUAUAAACUUUAAAUUUAUCAAGCGCUUCAUCUUUUGAAUGCAAUAAAUAUACAUAACAAUAUCUAGAACAAUCAUCAAUAAAAGUAACAAAAUAUUUCUUUCCACCUAAUGUAGGAGUAUUAUGCAAGUCACAUAAAUCACUAUGUAUCAAAUCAAGCAAUUUUGUUUUCCUUUUAACCUUAGGGAAAGGAUUUCUUGUAAUUUUAGUCAACAUACAGGUAUUGCAUUUUUCAAUAUUAUUAUUAAAAACAGGAAUUAAAUCUAAUUUAUACAUGUCAUUCAAUUUUCUAUAAUUCAAAUGACCUAAUCUAUAAUGCCACAAACAAAAUGAUUCAACCAUAUAAGCAGAAAUAGUAUUUUUAUUCUUAUUAAUAAUAUUAAGUUUGAACAUGCUUUCAUACAUAUACCCUUUUUCCCACAAAAAUUCCUCCCUUAGACAAAAUAAACUUAUCUGCCUCAAAAACAAGUUUGAAACCAAACUUAUUCAACAGACUUCCAGACACUAAAUUUUUCCUAACUUCUGGUACAUAAUAUACAUCAUUUAAGGUUAAAACCUUUCCAGAAGUGAAUUGUAGUUCAACAGACCCUUUGCCUUUAAUUUGCGGUGGAAGAAUUUCCCAUGUACAAGACAUUGUCAUUUUCACAUUGUGUGACUUUGUGAACAUGCUUUUGUCUUUGCACACAUGUUUGGUUGCUCCGGUAUCAAUCCACCAUGUAUUAUCAUCUUGUACCAUAUUAAUUUCAGAUAUCAUUGCAACGAACUUUUCGUUAUUAUCAGCCUUAGAAGAUGAUUUCUUCUUUAAAAAUCGAUAUUCAUUCUUGAAAUGUCCCGGCUUUCCACAAUGAUAGCAUGAGCCCUUUUGUUUCUUUUUGAACUUAGGUGCUCUAUCAGCCUGAUUGAACUUUCUUUUGAAUGGUUUAGUAGUCUGUACUUCCUCCGUAACAUGUACUUUGGCAUUUUCAGAAUUUAGGUUCUGAUCUUGUUGUCGAUACUCUUCUUCAAUACGAAGAUGAUUUGCCAAAGCCUCAAGAGAUAUUUCCUCUUUCUUAUGUUUUAGACUUCUUUUAAAGUCUUUCCAAGAUGGAGGAAGUUUGUCUAUUAUAGAGGAUACCACAAUUAUUUCAUCCAUUUUCAUAUCAUAUUGCUUAAAUUGAUUCAACAUCUUUUCAAUAUCACGAAAUUGUUCCAUAACAGAACGACCAUCAACCAUUUGAUAAUUAUUGAAACGACUGACAAGAAAUUUCUUACUUGUAACAUCUUCGGUCAUGUAUCUUGCCUCCAAUUUGUCCCAUAAAUCUUUAGCGGUGACGUCGUUUUGGUAGGUGUCGAACAAACCAUCAGAUAAACCAUUCAAUAUGUGGCCCAUGCACAUGUAAUCAGCAUUGUCCCAUUUUUGUCUUUCUCGGGUUGCAGCAAUAGAUUCGUUUUCAUUCUCUUCAGGUCUUGGAGUAUCCAAAACAUAAGCAAUCUUCAAAGUUGAUAACAAAAAGUGCAUCUUUUUCUGCCAUCGUCGAAAAUUGCCACCAUCAAAACGAUCAAGUUUAACAAAGUUGGAAGCCAACUCCCUUAGUGUUCCACUUUCAUGUGUUGUGGUAGUCAUCAUGAAAUAUAACCUUAAAAUUGUUAGUACAAAACUCCGGUAAGGAAAAAAACUCGAACACACGAUCGGAACUCGAAAAGAAAAAGAAGAAAUAGGACAGGCUCCAAGGCAUGUAUCAAGCCACUAUCUUUAAGGUUAUAUUCGCCCCCACUUAUCUUCAGUGUGCAAACGAGUUCCAAGCAAAUUAACCUCGAGGAUACAAUGAAGCCAAUGACUAUUUGCGUUUUGUACUGACGAGAAUAGUCCACUAUGCACUGAGUAAUGUAUAACAAAAACUCAAUUUCUACAAAGGAUUUCUGCAGCAAUACUUUAUAGAAUAAUCUAAUAAUAUUAGAAAAUGAAGGAAGAGAAGAAAUAGUAUUAGAAUUUGUUGAUAUGAUUUCCAAAUGAAAUCCCAUUCCUAUUUAUAGGAAUUUUCAUGUCUCUUCAUAGAGACAUCUUUCAAUAGGUGUCUUUAUGAAUAAAUAAAUAAUAAUAAUUAUUCAUUUAAUUUUGUAACUAUUCAAAUAAUAUUUUUUGAAUAGUUAUAAUUCUUUUUUAAAAAAUCAAAUGAUAUAACUUUUGACCAAUGACCAAAAGUUUUAUCUUUUGAUUAAUUACACCCAUUCAUUUAUAGUUAUUGGGAUACUAUAAAUAUUUGAAAAUAUUCCAACACAUUGCGGGCUACAUCUGUGAACAAAUCAAAACAAAUGGUACUAUAAUCAACAAAUGAAUAUAGGAAACAUAAAAUUUGAACAAAGGCGAUGUGCAGAGGAAAAAGCAACAACAUAAGACUUACAUUCAAGAAAUGGAAUAAGGUCUAAAAGUGCGGUAUCAUCAGUCUCGACCUUAUAUGGCUUAAUAUGGACACAAUUUUCUGGUUGAAGGCUAGAAUCAAAUGCAUGAGCACUCACAUAUAAAAUCUUGGUUGGAUCCCUGUUUAGCUUUGAAAGAUCCUGCCAACAGGAACUAUUUGUUAACAAUAAGGCUUCUUUUUAAGUAGCAGCUUGUAAAGGCACUGUCUCAUAUAUUAAUUCACAUAGUAUUGUAGAAACUAAGGAGGAGAAAACCAAAAGCAAAAUGUUUUGAAGGGAAGAGAUUGACUAUGACAUGGUAAAAGUAUCAUGGAGGCCCCUAUGUUAGGAGUUAGAUUGCCUUUUGCCCCCUUUACUCAAAAACUGGAUAAAUUAGUCCCUAUAUGUUAGAUUAAAGAGUAAGCUAGACUUUCUGUUAAAAAUUUCAUCCAUUGCUACUGUUAAAAACUGGUGCAGUUGAUAAAAUAACCAAACAGUUACACAUAAUGUGUCACGUGUACCUCAUGCUAAUGUAUAUGGACCAAUUUUUAACAGUAGAAAUGGAUGGAACUUGUAACAGAAGGGCUGGUUUGCUUUUUAAUCUAAUUUACAGGGAUUAAUUUGCCCAUUUUUUUAGUAAAGGGGUGAAAUGCAAUAUGACUCCUAGUAUAAGGGCCUCCAUGGUACUUUUACCACUAUGACAUACUCUAUAAUGCUUGCCAUCCUGAUAUUUAGUAGCACCCCUUGAUAGCCUAUAUCGUAUACAAUGGUUAGUGUCCAACCUUUCACAAGCAGGAUCAACAUACCGCAUAGCCAAAAACAAAAUAAUUAUGAACUUGCAGGCAACAUCAGUUAUAGUAUAUCUGAAAAAGAUAAGGAAAAAAAACUGUUACUUUCAUAUCUAAUUUCUUUAUAGUAUUAGGACAAACUAAACAAUGGAUAUAUCACAUUAUUAAGACUUAGCUAAGGAGCCGCUGAUAUACAUUCAAAUGAUCAAUCAUAAAGGAUGAACUAGGAGGCCUAAUGAUAAAUCAAAAUUACACCUAAACCAGUUAUAUGUCUAAAGGCAAUUGCACAUUAUAUCAAUCAAACAACUAAAAUAAAUAGAGAAAAUCCUUUAAAAUAUUCAAUUUCUAAACAAAAUCAAACUCACAUCAAUAGCAGAUCUUGACAAAGAAACCCAAAAUCACAAAUGAUCCUAUCUUUUUAAAAGGGGAAAAAGAAAACUUACUAUAAGAGAGAUAACCAGCAUAGCCAGUAGUUCCAGUAACACCUGCAAUGAGUCCGUACUUGACAAAGCUCUAAAUUUUCCCUCCCGAAACCUGUGGGGCAACUUUCGGCGCCAGAGGAGGAGGUGUCGACUGAUCGGAGAGAAUGGAUUGUGAAGAACAAUCCAAACUUAAUUUACAAGCAAUGUGGAAAUUUUGGACGUUGCAGUAUUGACUACGUUUACUUGAGGGAAAACAAAGACAUGAAUGCUGGAAAUUUUAACUAGUUUGUACGGUCAAUGAAGCUACCUCGAAUGUUAAAUAUGUUACUCUGCAAUGCCAUUGUAAAUAUGACUGUUAAAUUUGUUGAUAGCGGAAUUGUUCCACUCAAGUUAUUGUGGGACAAAUCAAGAAUUUGAAGAAAAGUGACAUUGCAUGUUAAACAAGAGACCUCUCCAUUGAAACUAUUAUUUGAGAUCAGAAAGACAUUGAUUGUCGAAGCUGGAAUCGGAAGAUUUCCACGGAUCAAAUAGGAGCUUAAGUCAAGAACUACAAUAUUCUUCCAUGGAAAGUGCAAAACUUCUGUCAAAGAGUUGCUGUAAUUGGAUUAAUCUCAUCGUUGCUGCAAUCUUUUGACAAAUCGAAUCUUAAAUAUGUUACUCUGCAACGCUAUUGUAAAUGUUACUCUUAAAUAUUACUCUGUAACUAGAUUGAUGGCUCAAUCUUGUUUUUAACAUUGUUAUGGGUAUUACUACUUUCAUGCUUUGAUACGCGAUACCCUCUUUCUAGGUGACAUUUUUGCUCCUUCCGGGCCACCAUGGGCUCUCUGCAUCACUCACCAACCUCAUUAGAUUCCCCGGGUGCCAUUUGGCCAUCUCAAGUCUCAAAAUAGCAUCAAAAUGCACUCUAAUAAUUUAUUAAUAUAAAGAACUAAAACAAAAUAAAAACACAACAAAGAUAUCUAAAUUGCACGAAAAUAAGCUUUUAAGUGUGAUGGAGAGUCUAAUUUGACAUAUCAAUUAAUGUUUGACUAUCUCCAUCUCACUUUUUAUUAAUUAAGGAAUAUGAAUUAGAAUUAAUAUAAACUUACUAUUUUAACAUUUCAUAAGCAAAAGCUAAAAUAAUAUUGGUCACAUCCCAUAUCUUCAUAUAUAGCUUAUCAGACAAAAGUUAAAACAGCCUUCAGUUCAUCUACAUUCUACAUUCCACGUCGAAUCUGCAAGCAUCAAAUAUUAACCUUUGAACUCCAAAAUAACAACACCAAUUUCCAGCAAUUGCAGAAGAAUGUCCAAUAAUUCCACACAAAUUAACAACAAUUUGCCAGCAUCCACUACAUUCGUAUGAAUUCCACACAAAUUAAGACUGGAAACUCUAACUUGUUCAUACCCUCAAUGAAGCUACCUAAAAGUUAUGAAUUCCACUGCAAAUUUUGUAUUGCUUGGAAUGAAUUGACUGUAAUUUCCUAUUACUUGCCACAAAAUUUUCUUUUACUGCUAACUUGUAAAAAAAUUAUGAAAAUACAACAGAGAUCAUUGAGACAUUUUGUUCUCCUUUCUCCUUUACUGAGCAGUAGCAAAGAUUAUCGAGACUAAAUUGAAAGUCAUGAAAGAAGACAUAAACAACACCACCAUACAAAAUGUUACACUCAAACAAACCAUUACAGAUAGUACGAAAUGCAAUGAAAGACACAGGAAUUGGUACAACAAUAAAGACAGACACAUACCAAUGCAACCCUUCACCAUAGGCAAAACGGUCUACAGAAUAAGAAAUUAUGAAAAUACAACACUAAUUCUUGAACAUCAUUUCCAGUAAUUAGAUCCUUCUUCGUCUAUUGCUUCGAUUGCCUUUCUUUGACUUUCUUCUUCGCCUCAUCUCUUGUUGGUUUUCAACCAAAUUCACCAACCAUUUCGGCUUACCAAUUUGGAAAACAACAUAUCCCACGGACAUUCCGAACACCACUCUGCAUCCAUAACCUAUCAACACCACUUUCCAACCAAAAGCAAUGUUUGAUUUUGAGCCAUCUUUUUCAAGCGCAUUUGGAGGUGCUGGCUCAAUGAUGUUGCAACCUUUCGAGACCGGAAACCCACACAGUCCAUUAUUCCCUUCAUAUGAAUCAUUUCCAAAUGUGUUGAAUUGUUUUCCUUGAGGAAUCUGACCAUGGAGUUGAUUUUCAGCGACAUUGAAGGACGAAAGAAAUGGCAGAUCUGCCAAUCUAUUUGGAAUCGUCCCAGACAACCUGUUUGAAGAUAGGUCCAACCAUUCAAUACUUGUCAAAUUCCCUAUUGAUGUGGGAUACCACCAUUAAGGUUAUUAUGAGAAAGGUUGAGCCCUUUCAGUAAGUUAAGCUUCCCAAAAACCUUUGGAAUACCCCCUUCAAACUGAUUGUUUGAUAGAUCAAUGAUCAUCCACAUGGUGAAAAUUUUCACCAAUUCCAUAUAUUGUCCUUUCAUAACAGUUCCGAUGGAAUAGGUAUAGAAGCCAUUACCUCUCGGAACAUACAUCCCCAUGUACGACAUUGUACUCCCAAUCUUCUCUAGAUUUAUGAUACCCUUGAAGCUGUUGAUGUAUCUCACUGGUAGGGGUCCAGAAAAAUAAUUACUUGAGAGAAAAAAAAUUUGGAUUUUAGAGAAAAAAGGGCUAGACUUGGAGCUAUUGUCACAUAAGGAACCAUGCAUAUGAUUUGACUUCAAUACAAGAACUUGUAGCUGUGGAAGACUUCCCAACCAAUGAGGAAAUGUAUCAUUGAUCUUGUUCUUCUUCAGAUUCAAGAAUUGAAGGCUGUAGCUCAAAUUUUCAAAACAUUGCGGAAUUGUUCCGCUCAAGUUAUUGUGGGACAAAUCACGAAUUUGAAGAAAAGUGACAUUGCAUAUUAAAGAAGAGACCUCUCCAUUGAAACUAUUAUUUGAGAUCAGAAAGACAUUGAUCGUCGAAGCUGGAAUGGGAAGAUUUCCACGGAUCAAAUUGGAGCUUAAGUCAAGAACUGCAAUAUUCUUCCAUGGAAAGUGCUCAACUUCUGUCAAAGAGUUGUGAGAUACAUUUAAGUCAAAGAGCCAUUGCCCACCUCUUGCAUCCACUGUGGAAUCUUGCCUUCAAUUUUGUUGCAAGAGAGGUCCAAGCUUUCCAAACUUUUAAGCCCUUAUAAAAACUGGGGGAAUUCACUAAGAUUGAAAGAUGACAAACGUAAGUCUAUAAGAUUAGACAAUAUAUGGUUAACACAAGAAGUAGUAUUAAAUGUUAAGGAUAGGCUGUUAUAUGAAAGGUCGAGAAGUUUUAGAGUUGGAAGGUUUGAGAACAUGCGAAACUCUAUGACACCACUAAGAUUAUUUGAGGAUAAAAGGAGGUGGGUAAGAUUGAGAAGUUGGAAUAUUGAAGAUGGAAGAGGACCUUGGAGUUUAUUAUUGUUUAACCUUAUCAAUUCUAGUGUUUUGGAUUGGAAUUCUUUGAUAUGCCCACUGAAUUGUUUUUAGAGAGAUCUAUUGUUUAACCACGUUAUUUUUCAGUGACGGAUCGAGAAAUAAAACUUAGGGGGAGCAGGGGCGAAGUUAGAAAAUUAGUUUGGGGUAAUCGAAAUUAAAUUAUAUAUUUUUAUGAUAGUAAAAAUAGAAUUUCGUCAUUUUAAUAGCCUAUAUCUUUAUAAUUUUUAGAGGAUUAAAUUAAUUUUUUAUCAUUUGAGGGGGGCAAAGUGCAAUUUUACCGUUAUUAAUUUAAAAUUUUAUAAAUUAUAAAUGGCCUAAAUUUUAAAAAAAAAAUCAUUUUAGGGGGUUGAGACCCUGUCAGCCCUCUCCCUAGACCCACCCCUAGUCUUUUUGAUACAAUUUGGCAGUUUAAGUACUUAAUUAGUGCAAAAAAAAAAAAACUAGGGGCUCAAUAGCUUUUUUUUGAAAAAGUUUGAGAGCCUUUUUGAUCCAUUUUGGCAGUUCAAAUGCCCAAUUCAGUGCAAGAAAAGAAGUAGGGGCUUAAUUAUUUUUUUUUAAAAAAAGUUUGAGAGCCUUUUUACACCAUUGAACCUUUUUUAUACUAAUUGGUAGACGCGAAGUUAUAAAUAUUUAAUUGUUAAUGUAAUUUUUAGAAUUUCUAAAGAAUAAUAAUAUUUAAAAUCUUAUAAUUUUUUUUAUUUCAUGUGCAUAAAAAACUUAAAUAAAUAAGUGUUUAGAUUUAGAUUAAUCACGCUGUCCAUUUAUUCAUAUUCAUUCUAGAGGUAUAACUUUUAGUUAUUUUAUAUGUUUUUAUAAUUAAAAAUAAUGGUAUAAAAGUCGAUUAAGUUUUAGCUCAAUUGACAUAGACAUUGUUGUUGAGGAGGACCUAUUGGUAGUUCUAGGCAUUGUGUCAAAAUGAACUAUAUUUGAUAAGAACCUAUAAUGAAAUUAAUGUUAAAAAAAUAAUAGUAUAAAAAGCUAAUAUUUUUAUAAAAGUUUCAUUUUUUUUUCAGUUUUUGGAUUUUUCUCAUAUAAAAUUUUAGAAUUGUUUCUUGAAUUUUUAUAGCUUUUCUUAUUAUGAUGUUAUAUAAUUUUAGAUUUUUAUACAUCUUUAAUAUUUUUUUAGUUUUUUAUUGUUUCUCAAAUAAUGCUUGGUUGAUGUAGCUUGCCAAGUGGUAUCGUGUUAUUGGCUGUCAAUUUCAAUAAUAAAAAAAUUUGGAGUUGAUUAGUUAUGAACUAACUCGAUUAAUCAAUUCUAAAUUUAAGUACUAAUUAAGUCCAAAAAAAGUUCAAAUUUCAAUUCAUGCAAGUUGGAUGGCAAUGAAACGGGAUUGGGGUGCGAAUAUUGUCAAAUUCACUAUUGUUUCAUAGUUGAUGUGUUUUGUCCCAUCACUCACCCCCGCUCCACUAUGGAUGUUUAAUUUUGAAAACCACUCACCCCAUGGAUGUUGGAUGCAUCCAUCCCUGCUUCACGUCGUGCCAUUUCAAUUUAAUUUUUAUUAGUUUUUUUAAAAAUAUUUUCAAUUUUUUUUUAAUUUUAAAAUAUUUUCAAUCUUUUUAAAACUUAUAAAUAUUUAAACAUAAUUAUUCAAGAAAAACAUUUAAACAUAAAACAUAUGAGUUUUUUAUAACAUAUUUUUACCCUUUAAUAGUUAUAAAUAUACAAGGGUCGAAUAGUAAUUUCAAAUAGUGAAAUAGAGUGGAUUGGGACAAACAAUUACCAUAACUGCUACACUUAAUCAUCGUAAAAAAAAAAAAAAAAAAUCUAUUUCAUCCCCGCCCAUAUUCCCUUUUAAAAGGAUCUACUCUAAAUGAAACAAACCAAUUCAAAAUCCAUUUAACAUCCUAAAUUCUAAAACUAAUUUUGAUAUGAAGUCUCAAUUAAAUUCAAGUAAUAAGGUUUUUUGAUAUGGUUUACACUACUAACUUCUAUAUGAAAACAACAACCAUUUCCCAUGAUGUUUGCGGCUUACCAACAAAUCCUUGCAGAUUUUCAACGUAGAAGAAAAUCAUGAAAAUAAAAAAAAAAAAAAAAAAAAAACUCUGGUUGGGAUUUGUUUCAUAUGGAAAACAGAAAACAAAACUUAAGUUAGUCAAAAUUACCAACUCACUGCUGACAACAUUUUUGUUGUAACCAAACAUUUGGAAGAAAAUAAACACAAGAGCACGCCGUUGACCUGUAUUUCUUUUAUUCUUCAAUUCUAUUUCAUCUUUAAGCUGUAACCAAUGAUAAUCAAAUCUUGACUUGCAUAAAAACCAAAGAAAACAAAAUGAAUGCAGCAGAAUUUUCUACCACAAAUGAGUAGUAAUUUACAGAUAAUAAAAUUAUCGAAAAACUAUUGAGAGUCGAAUUUCAUAUUAAUUGUGGUAUCCAUGAACUAGAAUGUAUUAAAAAAAGAAGGAUAUUGACCUUGAGACUACUUGCAAUUUUCAAAAACACUCUCAAUUCCUCUCCCCCUCUUCGGGCACCGGCCCAAGAUCCUGCCAUUGGCUACCACGCCGGCCGCUAGUCGCCAGCGCCGGCGCCGUGCAUGGAGGAGGAGAGUCCAAAAAUAUCCUUUUUUUUUUCUCACAUGCAGAUCCUCGGCCUCCAAACACUCCGACGACGGCUACAAAGGUAAAAAGGCCUCUCAUUUUUUAUUUUUAUAAUGCUUCAAAAUAAAAAAAUAAAAAAAAGGGAAAAAAUCACCUUUAAAAAAAACUGAUUCCUGUUUUUUAUUUCUCUUUGUUUUUUUUUUUCCAAAAGAGAACUCCCUUAAUUUUUCAUCUUUUUUAGCCCUUAAACCUACGUUGUUUAUCAAUAACCUUAAACUUACAUUGUUUACCGGAUGAAAAAUUUAAUAUUUAUUAACUUUGCUAAGGUGCACAUAUGCAAUUUAUUUAAAUCUAAAAACUAUAAAAUAUCUUAAAAUUAAAACUAAAAGUUUUUAAACUACUUGAUUGCUCCUUUCUCCUUUACUGAGCAGUAGCAAAGAUAAUCGAGACUAAAUUGAAAUCCAUGAAAGAAGACAUAAAACACCUCCAUACAAAGUGUCACACUCAAACAAACCAUUACAGAUAGUACGAAAUGCAAUGAAAGACAGAGGAAUUGCUACAAUAACAAAGACAGACACAUACCAAUGCAACCCUUCACCAUAGGCAAAACAAGAAAUUAUGAAAAUACAACACUAGUUCUUGAACAUCAUUUGCAGUAAUUAGAUCCUUCUUCGUCCACUGCUGCGAUUGCCUUUCUUUGACUUUCUUCUUCGCCUCUUCUCAUGUUGGUUUUCAACCAAAUUCACCAACCAUUUCGGCUUUCCAGUUUGGAAAACAACAUAUCCCACCAGCAUUCCGAACACUACUCCGCAUCCAUAACCUAUCAACACCACUUUCCAUUCAAAAGCAAUGUUUGAUUUUGAGCCAUCUUUUUCAAGCACAUUUGGAGGUGCUGGCUCAAUGAUGUUGCAACCUUUCGAGACCGGAAAUCCACAUAGUCCCUUAUUUCCUUCAUAUGAAUCAUUUCCAAAUGUGUUGAAUUGUUUUCCUUGAGGAAUCUGACCAUGGAGUUGAUUUUCAGAAACAUUUAAGGACGAAAGAAAUGACAGAUCUGCCAAUCUAUUUGGAAUCGUCCCAGACAACCUGUUUGAAGAUAGGUCCAACCAUUCAAGACUUGUCAAACUCCCUAUUGAGGAGGGGAUAUCACCAUUAAGGUUAUUAUGAGAAAGGUUGAGCCCUUUCAGUAAGUUAAGCUUCCCAAUAACCUUUGGAAUACCCCCUUCAGACUGAUUGUUUGAUAGAUCAAUGAUCAUCCACAUGGUGAAAAUUUUCACCAAUUCCCUAUCUUGUCCUUUCAUGACAAUUCCAAUGGAAUAGGUAUAGAAGCCACUACCUCGAGAAUCAUUCACCCCCAUGUACGACACCGUACUACCAAUCUUUUCUAGAUUUAUGAUAGCCUUGAAGCUGUUGAUGUAUCUCACUGGUAGGGGUCCAGAAAAAUAAUUACUUGAGAGGUCAAAAAUUUGGAUUUUAGAGAAAAAAGGGCUAGACUUGGAGCUAUUGACACGCAAGGAACCAUGCAUAUGAUUUGACUUCAAAACAAGAACUUGCAAAAAUGGAAGACUUCCCAACCAAUGAGGAAAUGUAUCAUUGAUCUUGUUGUUACCAAGAUCUAGCACUUCCAGACCAUUACAAUUAAGGAUGGAUGGUGUCAAAGGCCCUUCUAACAGAUUUCCAUUUAAGUUGAAAUUAGUCAGUUGGCAUCCCUUUGCAAAUGUUAGAGGAAUCGUCCCAUAGAACUCGUUCUUCUUCAGAUUGAAGACUUGAAGGAUGUUGCUCAGAUUUCCAAAACAUUGCGGAAUUGUUCCACUCAAGUAAUUGUGGGACAAAUCAAGAAUUUGAAGAUAAGUGGCAUUGCAUAUUAAAGAAGAGACCUCUCCAUUGAAACUGUUAUUUGAGAUCAAAAAGACAUUGAUGGUCGAAGCUGGAAUCGGAAGAUUUCCACGGAUCAAAUUGGAGCUUAAGUCAAGAAAUUCAAUAUUCUUCCAUGGAAAGUGCUCAACUUCUGUCAAAGAGUUGUGAGAUACGUUUAAGUAAGUCAAAGAGUCAUUCCCCACCUCUUGCAUCCACUGUGGAAUCUUGCCUUCAAUUUUGUUGCAAGAGAGGUCUAACCUUUCCAAACUUUUAAGCCCUUUUAAAAACUGGGGGAAUUCACUAAGAUUGCAAGAUGACAAAAAUAAGCUUCUAAGAUUAACAGUAGAUGUAGUAUUAGAUGUUAAGUAUAGGCUGUUAAAUGAAAGGUCGAGAUAUUUUAGAUUUGGAAGGUUUGAGA
rnacentral:lncRNA from 1 species